GACUAGCCGAUGAAGUGAUCAAAACAAACCCAACAUUAAAACAACUGCAUUUAAGCAAUAAUCAACUCAGUGGUUCUUUUCCUCAAUCACUUGUGAAUCUCACAAACCUUAAAACCCUUGGACUUUCAUCAAAUAACAUCACCAUUGAUGAGGGAAUGAAUAUCACCUUUCUUAGCCCAUCAUCUUUAUUCUUAUCAUCUUGUCAACUGAAGGAUUUUCCACACUUCUUGAGAAAUGUAAAGACACUUGUGUACUUGGAUAUUUCUAACAAUAUGAUUCGUGGUCAAAUUUCUGACUGGUUUAGCGGCAUGAGGUGGGACAACUUGUGGUACCUAAAUAUUUCACAUAAUCUUUUGACAGGUUACCUACCACAAUUGCAUUUCCAUAAUCUAGGGUAUCUUGAUCUGAAAUUUAACUCCCUUCUGGGUCCACUACCCUCAUCCAUUUGUAACAUGAGUUCGCUUAUCUUAUUAGAUUUAUCACGCAACAACUUCAGUAACUACAGUUUCGUAUGAGGAUUCAUUGAGUUUGGUAAUCAAAGGGCAGGAUAUUGAGCUACAAAGAAUCAACACAAUUAUGACAACCAUAGAUCUCUCAAGCAAUCAUUUUGAAGGUGUGAUUCCGAAAACACUAAAGGAUCUCAGCUCACUUUGGCUACUCAAUUUAUCCCAUAACAAUCUCAUAGGUCAUAUUCCAAUGGAACUAGGGCAAUUGAAUACGCUUGAAGCUUUAGAUCUCUCUUGGAAUUGGCUCACUGGAAAUAUUCUGCAGGAACUGACAAGAAUGAACUUUCUGGCCUUCUUAAACGUCUCUCAAAAUCAUCUUGUCGGACCAAUUCCUCACGGUCUACAGUUCAACACAUUCGAAAAUUAUUCGUAUGGCGGAAACCUUGAUUUAUGUGGUCUUCCUUUAUCAAAGCAAUGUGGAACGAGUGAUUCAUCACAUGUUCCUCAACCAUUGGAGUCCGCAGAAGAAGGCGAGUCAUAUUUUUUUAGUGGAUUUUCUUGGGAAUUAGUAGUAAUAGGCUACAGUUUUGGACUUGUCGUUGGAACUGUCAUGUGGAGCCUCAUGUUUAAAUAUCGUAAGUCAAAGUGGUUUGUGGAAUUUUUUGAUGGACUCAUGCCUCACAAAAGAAGAAGGCCAAAGAAGAGAGCUCAGAGACGAAGGACUUAAUGGAAGCUUGAGAGGGCUAAAUUGUCUUUGUUUGAUUUUGUGGACUAGUGAACUGUUCUGUUUUUGUCUUUUUUUAAUUUUCUAUUUGUUGUUUGUAUAUGUUAGAAACAUAAUUAUAUGUGUGUUAUUGUAGUAUUCAAUUUAUGUUAGUUUGUUUCUGUUUCAAAUUGACAGAAGUGAUCUACACAGCAACUCUAGCUAUGUUACUUAGAUUUUUCAAAAAUGUCAACGGGUACGUGUUGGAUUCUUCAAAAGUUGUGUAUUUAUUAAGGAACCAACAUGAGCAGUGGCGGAUCCAGGAUUUUCAUUAAGGGGUUCGAAAAAAAGAGAGCAGUGCUUAAGAUUUGAGGUUUGAACCCCUCAACCACUAAACUAACCUCUAAUCUUAUAUUCAGGAGGUUCAAAAUCAAUAUAUAAACAUAAAAAUUCUUUAAAAUACCUUAAAUAUACAACAUAAUUUUUUGCCGAGGGAGUUGGUCCACCCCUGAACAUGGGUGCGACAUCAUCAUAUUUUAGGAGAGUCCGAGCAACAUAGCUCAUUAAUACAACAAAAUUGGAUAAAGCAGUGCAGUAAGCAUAUAGAGUUUGGUUCAUGAUUGAAAUUAGUUGAUAUUAGAAAGUUUAUAUUUGUGAAAAUUGAUGUAGAAGAAUGCUCAAAACUACAGAAGUGGCUAAUAAUUUUGUGGUACUUCAUCUUUCUAGUCAUAAAACAUCCUUAAAAUGUUCUCUAACUCAGUUUCAACUUCUGCAAUUUUUAUUUUGGUAGAUUUUUACAUAUAUUUAUACUUCAUGACGAGUGUUAUGUCUCACGUGAUCCAACAACUAAUUCAUACUGCUUGAUUAUGAAUGAGGAAAUUUUUUUGUUUUUGGGAAAAAUGCUCUCUGGAAUCGGCUCACUGGAAAGAUUCCAAGGGAACUGACAAGACUAAAAUUCCUGGCAGUCUAAAAACUCUGUCUGAAUGUUCUUUUUAGACCGAUUGCAUGCUCCUCGUCCAUUGGAGUCCGAAGAAGAAGAAGAAGAAGAGAGUCGUAUUUUGCUAGUUGUGGAUUAAUUGUUGUAACUGUCAUGUGGCACCUCAUGUUUAAAGAUGGUAAGCUGAACAUGUGAUCCUUCAAUACAAUUAGUCUCUCAGUUUUUUUUGCUUGAGUAUCAUUUUUUUUAUCUUCUUAAUUUGAUCACUAUACCUUUAUCUUGAGUCGAGGGUCUACAGAAACAACAUCUCCACUACUUUGGUUAUUUUCCAUCUCUUCAUAUUUGAACUGUAUCAUAUAGAUGGAAUUUCCCUCAUUAACUUAAUGUUAAAAAUCUUUUGGAAAACAGCACAAGAGACAACUAAUCGGAAAUUUCUCUACAGGUGGAAGGAUCUUCACCAAGUUAUUCAGAACAUACUAAUUAAGCAGGAAAACACAGAUCAAACAAAAUUUUGUAUAAAAUUCCACAAGGAGGAAAUGAAGGACUUAAAUCAUGUCUUUAAUUAUUGUUCAUUUUUUUCCUCACUUGACUUAGUCAAGCAAUAGUUUCUACCAUUUGAAAUUUCUAAGAAGUUCUGCAGAAAUUUUUUCUACAUAAUGGGACCAAUUUCACAUUAUCUUGCGUAACACACUGCAGAGAUAGUUAAUGACUUUGAAAUGAACACAACAUCAAGAGAAAAAUAGGACAUAGAGAGUAUUAUUUUGUUAAGUCUUCUCCGUCCUCUAAAAAGUCUUGUGGAACACUACAAAAUAUGAGUAUCAAGUUGUUAGAAGUGAGUAGUACUCAUCUUGUAAUUCAAUUGUUCAUCAGUCCCGAUUCAUCAUAAUCUUUUUUUUUCCUCUAGUCUUUGUGGAAAUUGGCUUAAAGUCUUACAAGUCAUCGUCCGCUAGUUACAAUACUGUAUCACUUUUUUCCUUAGUUGGAAUGGAAUAUUGAUGGAUUUUCCCUUAUUUACUUAAUGUGAAAAUUAUUGUGUACCUAACAAGUUUGAAAAUAGCAGAAGAGACAACUAAUCACUCACUCGGAUUGACCUUUUCUGAUUGUAUAGAUUUCAUGGAAAAAUUGCACCAAAAUUUAUUUAAUCCUCAAUUGACUUGGUCAUGCAACAGUUUCUCUUUGAAAAGUAUUGUGGAAAACAGAAGAGAUGUUGAUGGAAAGUUGGACAAGGUUGACAUAAAACAGGAGUUCAAAUAACUAUAAAAUAUGUAUGGAUUUUGAAAAAACAGAACAUUCUGUAAUAUGCUGUAAACAAAAAGUAAUUCCCGUGACCAGUUCAGUUCAAGGUUGGUCACGGGAGGGUUGAAUAAAAAUCACUUGAAAGUUGUUAAGGGGGUAUUUAAAUGUUCAUGUAGUUUAAGUCCUAAAGUAAAUUUGGCUAUCAAGUUUGAGGGUGAUUUUAGGAUUUUUCUCAAAAGUUAGCAGUCAAAUUGAAAAAAGUGUUCAAAUUGGGAAAAUAUGUAAAAAUUGUUAUUUUCCAUCUCUUCCUAUUUGAACUGUAUCAUAUAGAUGGAAUUUCCCUCAUUAACUUAAUGUGAAAAGUCUUCAGCACAAGAGACAACUAAUCGGAAAUUUCUCAUAAAAUUUCUCUGCAGGUGGAAUGAUCUUCACCAAGUUAUUCAAAACAUACUAAGCAAGCAGGAAAUGAAGGACUUAAAUCAUGUCUUUAAUUAUUGUUCAGUUUUUUCCUCACUUGACUUAGUCAAGCAAUAGUUUCUACCAUUUGAAAUUUCUAAGAAGUUCUGCAGAAAUUUUUUCUACAUAAUAGGACCAAUUUCACAUCAUCUUGUGUAACACACACUAUAGAGAUAGUUAAUGACUUCGAAAUGAACACAACAUCUAGAGAAAAUGAGGACAUAUGGAGUAUUAUUUUGUUAAGUCUUCUCCGUCCUCUAACAAGUCUUGUGGAACACUACAAAAUAUGAGUAACAAGUUGUUAGAAGUGACUAGUACUCAUUUUUGAUUCAAUUGUUCAUCAGUCCCGAUUCAUCAUAAUCUUUUCCCCCCCUCUAGUCUUUGAGGAAAUUAUCUUAAAGGCUUACAAGUCAUCGUCUGCUAGUUACAGUACCGUAUCCCUUUUUUCCUUAGGUGGAAUGGAAUAUUGAUGGAUUGUCCCUUAUUAACUUAAUGUGAAAAUUAUUGUGUACCUAACAAGUUUGAAAAUAGCAGAAGAGACAACUAAUCACUGACUCGGAAUAUUGACCUUUUAUGAUUGUAUAAAUUCCAUGGAAAAAUUGCAUAAAAAAUUAUUGCAUUCUUUGUGGAAAUUGUCUUAUUAAAGACUUUGGCUUCAAAGAACAAAAUAAAAUUCCACACGGUAUUAUUGUUUUGUUGUUACAUACUCUUAAGUUGAUGUCUUUAAUUAUUCUUCAUUUUUUUUCCUCACUUCAUGACUUAGUCAAGCAAUAGUUUCUCUCAUUGGAAAUUUUUCACAACUUAUGCAGAAAUAUUUUCUACUGUGAGUGUUACGUAACUUGACCAAUUUCACAUCAUCUUGCGUAACACACACCGUAGAGAUAGUCGAUCGAUGAUCUCGAAAUGAACAACAACAUCUAGGGAAAAUGAUGUGUACCAAGUCGUUAGAAGUGACUAGUACUCAUUCAUGGACCAUAUGUGACUGAAAAUUGACUUUACACUUGGGACAACAUUUUUUGCAACCACAAAUUAUUACCCCAUUUAUUUAAUUAUCUAUGUGUUUCUUUUCUUUCGUUAAUUUAUACCUCAAUAGUCCCAUGCAUAGACAAGUCAACAACGUUACUUUAUGAAAUAUUGUUUAGUUAAUUGUUUACUUUAUUUAAUGUGGAGGUUGUUGUAAUAAUUAAGAAAUGGAAUAGUGUUUAGUUACUUAUAGCAUCCUUUCCUACAUGGCUACUUAUUUUAUUGACUUAUUUAUAUCUUGGCAAUUAUCAUGAAUUUUGAUAAUGCAUGUUUUCAUUGAACACGGGUGCAACUUAGAAAGUAGUAUAUAUAUGUGUGGAUAAUACUGAUUGAUUUGUAAGAAGAACACAUCCAUCCUGUUAUUUGCUGAAAACAAACAAACAAAAAAUGGUCAUGAGUCUGUUUUUCUUUCAUUCAUUUCUGUAUUUUGUGUUGCUAAUAAGUAUGUUUUUCUUCUUCCUUUGAUCAUCAUCUUUGCUCUCCCACCGAAGCUUCUGCUUUGCUUCAGUUUAAGCAAUCUUUUGGAGUUGAUUACAACUACUCCAAAUGUUUUACUUCUUUCCCAAAAAGAAAGUCUUGGAAUGAGAGUAGGGAUUGCUGCAGUUGGGAUGGAGUCACUUGUGACUUAUUAAACGGUCAUGUUAUCGGGUUAGACCUUAGUUGUAGUCUGCUUAGUGGAAGUAUUCAUCCCAAUAGCACCCUCUUCCAACUUCAUCAUCUCCAGGCACUAAACCUUGCUUACAAUCACUUCAGCUAUUCUUCAAUCCCACAUAACAUUGGCCGAUUGACAAAUUUGGUUUCGCUUGAUCUUUCUUCUGAUUUUUAUGGACUACAACUUGAUGAGAGAACAUUUGAAACAAUGCUUCAAAACUUGACAAAUCUGGAAGUACUAUCUCUCUUUCUUGUCAACAUCUCAUCUCCGAUGCCUGUGAAUAUUUCUUCCUCUUUAAGGUACCUGGAUCUUCGUUAUACUAAUCUGCGAGGUGUUCUAACAGAGAGCUUUUUCCUUCUGCCAAACAGCUUGGAAACGCUCAAACUGAGUGGGAAUGAUCUUCUCAAAGGAGUUUUUCCAAAGAUCCACCGGAGCAACACUCUGUUAAUGGAGUUGGAUAUUUCAUACACAGGCAUCUCUGGUGAGCUGCCUCAUUCAAUUGGCACCUUUAGUUCAUUGAAAUACUUAAACCUCCAAGGAUGCCAAUUCUCUGGUUCCAUUCCUAAUUCCAUUGACAACCUAACCCAAAUUACGGAGUUGAUUUUAUCUUAUAAUCAUUUCACUGGACAUAUUCCUUCCACAAUCUCUAAAUUGAAGUACCUCACAAAUUUACAUCUUUCUGACAACUCCUUUUCAGGUGAAAUUCCUGAUGUUUUUUCUAAUCUCAAAGAGCUACGUUAUUUAGAUCUUUUUAAUAACAGCUUCAUCGGUCCAUUUCCUGCUUCAAUUUUAAGUUUGACACAUCUUGAAUACUUAGGAUUGUCGAGUAAUUCCCUAUCUGGCCCACUGCCUAGCAAAGCAAGCAUGCUUCAAAAGCUAUCCGAACUGCAUUUGUCUUACAACUCGCUGAAUGGUACCAUACCAUCUUGGGUGUUUAACCUCCCUUUGCUAUCUUCGUCGUGGCUCAAUCAUAAUCAAUUUAGUGGACUAGCCGAUGAGAUCAAAACAAACCCAACAUUAGAAUUCCUGUAUUUAAAUAAUAAUCAACUCAGCGGUUCUUUUCCUCAAUCACUUGUGAAUCUCACAAACCUUUCUACCCUUGACCUUUCAUCAAAUAACAUCACUAUUGAUGAGGGAAUGAAUAUCACCUUUCCUAGCCUUGAAAUUUUGCAGUUAUCAUCUUGUGAACUGAAGGAUUUUCCACACUUGUUGAGAAAUGUAAAGACACUUCAGGUCUUGGAUAUUUCUAACAAUAAGAUUUGUGGUCAAAUCCCUAACUGGUUUAGCGGCAUGAGGAUGGGACUCGUUGCAGCUAUUAAACCUUUCUCAUAAUUCAUUAACAGGCCACCUACCACAAUUUCAUUUCCAUAAUCUAGUGUCUCUUGAUCUGAAAUUUAACUCCCUUCAGGGUCCACUACCUUCAUCCAUUUGUAACAUGAGCAGACUUUUCUUAUUAGAUUUAUCACAUAACUACUUCAGUGACUCAGUUGCACAUUGCUUGGGAAGCAUGGCUAGUCUAACCGUGCUAGACUUGAGAAGGAACAAUUUCAUAGGGAAUCUUCCCCCAUUAUGUGCACAGGGCACUUCAUUGAGUACCAUUGUCGUAAAUGGUAAUCGAUUUGAAGGACCUGUACCUGUGUCGUUGCUCAAGUGUAAUGUUCUAGAAGUCCUUGAUGUGAGGAACAAUGCUAUAAAUGACACAUUUCCAGCUUGGCUCGGAACUCUUCAAGAGCUGCAGGUCCUUAUAUUAACGUCGAACAAGUUCCAUGGACCUAUAAGUACUUGUCAGACUAAGCUUUGCUUUCCCAACUUGCAAAUUUUUUAUCUUUCUCGUAAUGAUUUCAGUGGCUCACUUCCUGCAAAAGUUUUUGGAAACUUCAAGGCAAUGAUCAAAUUAGAUGACGAAGACACAAGAGAGAUCAAGUACAUGGAAUCUAAGUCAAAUUUGUCAUUUGACACAUCUUAUGAGGAUUCAGUGAGUUUGGUAAUCAAAGGGCACGAUAUUGAGCUACAAAGAAUCAGCACAAUUACGACAACCAUAGAUCUCUCAAGCAACCAUUUUGAAGGUGUCAUUCCGGAAACACUAAAGGAUCUCAGCGCACUUUGGCUACUCAAUUUAUCCCACAACAAUCUCAUAGGUCAUAUUCCAAUGGAAUUGGGGCAAUUGAAUACACUUGAAGCUUUAGAUCUCUCCUGGAAUCGGCUCACUGGAAAGAUUCCGCAGGAAUUGACAAGAAUAAACUUUCUAGCAGUCUUAAACCUCUCCCAAAAUCAUCUCGUCGGACCAAUUCCUCAAGGUCCACAAUUCAACACAUUUGGAUAUGACUCAUAUGGUGGCAACCUUGAUUUAUGUGGUCUUCCUUUAUCAAAGCAAUGUGAAACAAGUGAUUCAUCACAUGUUCCUCAACAAGAAGAUGAAGGCGAGUCAUAUUUUUUUAGUGGAUUUACGUGGGAAUCAGUAGUCAUAGGCUACAGUUGUGGUCUAGUUGUUGGAACUUUUCAUGUGGAGUCUCAUGUUUAAAUAUCGUAAGCCAAAAUGGUUUGUGGAAUUUUUUGAUGGACUCAUGCCUCACAAAAGAAGAAGGCCAAAGAAGAGAGCUCAGAGAUGACGGACUUAAUGGAAGAUUGAGAGGGUAACCUUGUCUUUGUUUGAUUUUGUGGACUAAUUAGUGAACUUUUCUGGUUCUGUUUUUGUCUUUUCAAUUUUCUAUUUGUUGUUUGUAUAUGUUUGAUAGAAACAUAAUUAUAUGUGUGUUAUUCAAGUUAUGUUAGUUUGUUUCUGUUUCAAGUUGAUAGAAGUGAUUUACACAGCCACUCAUUAGUUAUGUUACUCAGACUCUUCAAAAAUGUCAACGACUACAUAUUGAAUUCUUCAAAAGUAGAGCAUUUUUUAUGAAACCAACACAAAUGCAACACCAUUUUAUUUUUAGGAGAGUCGGAGCAACAUAGCUCAUCAGCAUAACAAAAACAGGAAAUUGCACAAGCAAAUAGAUCAGUUUGGUUUAUGAUUGAAAUCACUUGAUAUUAGAAAGUUUAUAUUUUUGAAAAUUUAAGUAGAAGAGUACUCAAAACUACAUAAUUUGCUAAUAAUUUUGUGGUUCUGCAUCUUUAGAAUCAUAAAUCACUUAAAAUGUUCUCUAACUCAAUAUCAACUUCCGCAAAUUUAAUUUUAGUAAGUUUUUACAUAUAUUUAUACUUCGUGUACGAAAAAUAAUGUCUCUGGUUGUUCAACAACUAAUUCAUAUUGUUUGAUUAUCAAUGCGGAAAAGGUUUUUUUAAAAGGGCAAAAUGUUCUAUACAAGGAUUUUAGAAGUGACUAGUACUCAUUCAUGGACUACAAGUGACUUUGAGUCUUCCUGGAAAUUGACUUAACACUUAGGACAACCACAAAUUAUUUGUUUGGAUGUGUUUCUUUUCUUUCGCUAAUUUAUACCUCAAUAGUCCCAUGCAUAGACAAGUCAACAACGCUACUUUAUGAAAUACUGUUUGGUUAAUUGUUCACUAUAUUUUAAUGUGGAGGUCGUUGUAAUAAUUAAGAAAUGGAAUAGUGUUUGGUUAAUUAUAGCAUCCUUUCUUCCGUGACUACUUAUUUUAUUGACUUAUUUAUAUGUUGACAAUUAUCAUGAACCCAUAUUAUAUUAUUACUAGGUAAAUUACCCGUGCUUCGCACGGAAUUGAACUAUUUUAUUAAGCUUACAUAUGAUCAUUCGAUAAUAUUCAUAUUUUCGAUACAUACACUACAUUGUCAAGAUCAUUUUAUCUUAAGGCAAAACGUUCCUCCAAAAUCUUAAAGUGCUAUAUUUUUUUAAUUUUCAUUUUUGUUAUACAAAUAUUAUGAGUCAUAGAUAGAUUUUAAGUAUAAGAAAGAAGUCUAAGAAAAUCUCCUUGGAAAUAGUUGGUCAGAAGUAAUGGAAUAUUUUUAAUUCCAAGAAGUUAUAAAGAACAACAUCAGACGUUAAUAAAGAGACCAAAAAAGGUCGAACAACAACACUUCCAAGUAAAGUGGAGUAUCACGUCCAUACAAGAUCAUAAUUAACUAAAUUCAAAUGGACGACCAUGGACUCCUUUCUUAUGAACCUCCAUCAAUCUCUUUUUUAUUAUUGUAUGCCAUAUCAAGUAUAUGCUAAAAAUGACCCUAAAAUUGUUAUUAUCAUAAAUGUUUUUUUGUCAUUGUCUCAAAAUAGUCAUUACUAUUUUAAAGGUUUCAUAUCACCGGCCCCAACUUAUUUGGAUUAAACCAUAGUUAUUGUUAUGGUUAUAGUAUGCAGUUACAAAAAAAUUAAUGCAAUUAUCAGCCAAGCAAUAGGUGACAUCUGAAUGUUCACAACGGGAUAUUCUAAACAAAAAAUUUGACACAUAACAUAUUAAAAUCUCACAACAUAAUUUUGUGAGCACUUGAACUCACAAAUAUCCUAAAAUAAUAAUAAAGACAAUCUUACUUUCCUAACAAUCAAGAAGAAAAAGGCUCGUUGCUUAAUAUAUUUUUCAAAAAGAUAGUCUUUCGGGUUGUAUCCAAGUUCACAGUUCACAAAUUUAGUUGAAAGAAGCCAAAAGAAAGAGUUAUUACUUCUUUAUCAAAAAAAUUUAAAACUUUAUCAAAAGAAUGAGUUAUCACUACAACAAAAAUGAUCUUUAACGAUAAUUAAUAGCUUAAUUAUCGCUAAAUAUGUAUUUUCAGAGGCAAUUGGUACUCUGUAUAAAUGUUCCUAAAGUCUAUAGCAACAUUGAAUCCAAUGACAGUUAAUUCAUGUCGGUAAAGGCUGUAGCACUCUUCGUGAACGUGCAUAUUUAUUGCCGAUAAAAAAUAUUUUUGUUGUAGUGUAUUUUGGACAUUUGUUAGUUUUAAGAAAACUUGAUCUCUUAUUAUGCCCAAAAAGAAGAGAAGAGGAAAUAUGACAAAUUAGUUAACUUGCGAUAAAUGAUGUGGACUAAUUGUCUCUAUACAAAUUUUCUAGGAAUAGUGCAAUGGCAUACAAAAUGUUUGUACCUAAGAAAAAACAAUCAAAAUAAUAUACUAACUGUGGCAAACAAGAGAGAAAUCAUUUUGGUUCUUUUAACAAACUUCAUCAUUGGUUCCGUACUAGUUAUCAGAUUUUUGUUGUUGUGUGCUAUCAAAUAUAGCACAACCCACAAGCAAUUUUCCCAAAAAGUAUAUGAAGAAAAACUGUAGAAAGGGACAAAAGAGAAGAUAAACUUUCAAUCAUCCUCAUUGAAAUUUUGAACAUAAUUAAAAAAAAAGUCACCAAAAUAGCAAAAAGAAAUUGCAAUAGAUACAUGAAUCACUAUGAUUUAUAGUAAAAAAUUAAGCUUCAUGAAAUAGGAGGAAAAAAACUUUGAGAAAUGAAAUGCACUUUAUAAGAAACUUAAUUAAUGUAUUUGAUUUCGAAAAAAAAUACAAAUAAUAGUGGUAGAAAUAAAAGAUUUGUUUACUAAAGAACCAAAUGUAAUGAAUUCAGUCAUCAACCAUUUCAGCAGUGUUAUGAGUUGUGCACUGAGAGAUCCAAGAGCAGUAAUGUCGCAUUGCAAUUGAAAUCAAUUUUCUUUGUUUAUAUGAAGAAACCUGUAGAAAGUGACAAAAGAGAGGAUCAAUUUUCAAUCAUCCCUGCUGAAACUUUAACAGAGUUAAAAAAAAGGUCACCAAAAUAGGAAAAUGAAAUUGCCAUAGUUACAUGAAUCACCAUGACUUACAAUAAAGAUUAAGAUCCAUGAAAACUUUUAGGAAUGAAAAAAAUUCCUAAAAACUUAAUUAAUGUAUUUGAAUUUGACUACCCUAUAGAGGGAAAAAAACCUACAAAUUAUAGUGGCAGGAAAUUCCUCUAUUUAUAGACAACAUAGAGUAGUGUGAACAAAUUUUUAUUGUGCCUUAUCCGAGAUGUCACAACUCUUUGGAAAAGUUACAACCCUUCAGAAAGGUCACAACCUUUCAUAAAAGUCAUAAUUUUUCAUAAAAGUUGCAACUCUUCAUAAAAGUCACAACUUUUCAUAAAAGUCACAGCUUUUAAUGAAAAGGGAAGGCUAGUUUUGGAAAUAAAUAAAAUUUAAAAGGGAAUCCUAGUUUAUGGUGGCGCCACGUAGGCGGGCCUAGGGUUCUCUUUUAUAUAAAUUUUUGAUUUUUGAUAUAUGAUUUUUACGUUUACCUUUUUUAUUCUUCUUUCUAUUUUUAUUCUUUCAUUAUUAAAUAUUCUAAAGUCUAACCUUUUGCAUUAUACAAAAUAUAUUGUUGGGUGUUAAUAAAAAUAUCAAAUUUAUUUUUUGGUGUAUUCUUUAAAUUACAAGCACUACAACAAACACUACAAUAAAAACAACUUGUUGCGGUUUCUGAACCUUUCAUAUAAUUCAUUAACAGGCCACCUACCACAAUUUUAUUUCCAUAAUCUAGGGUAUCUUGAUCUUAAAUUUAACUCCCUUCAGGGGCCACUAUCUUCAUCCAUUUGAAACAUGAGCAUACUUAGACUUGGGGAAAUUGAAUGUGCUUGAAGCAAUGAUUAAAUUAGAUGACGGAGACAAAGGUGAGAUCAAAUAUAUGGAACAAUUGAGUGAAUAUUCAAUGUAUGAAGAUUCAGUGAGUUUGGUGAUCAAAGGCCAUGAUACUGAGCUAGAAAAAAUCAACACAAUUAUGACAACCAUAGAUCUCUCAAGCAACCAUUUUGAAGGUGUCAUUCCAAAAAUACUAAAGGAUCUUGGCUCACUUCGGUUACUCAAUUUAUCACGUAACAAUCUCAAAGGUGAUAUUCCAAUGGAACUGGGGCAAUUGAAUGUGCUUGAAGCAAUGGAUCUGUCCUGGAAUCGGCUCACUGGAAAUAUUCCUACUGAAUUGACAAGACUAAAAUUUCUAGCAGUCUUAAACCUCUCUCAGAAUGUUCUUGUCGGUCCAAUUCCUCAAGGUCUACAAUUCAACACAUUUGGAAAUGACUCGUAUGGUGGCAACCUUGAUUUAUGUGGUCUUCCUUUAUCAAAGAAAUGUGGAACGAGUGGUUCAUCACAUGUUCCUCAACCAUCGGAGUCGUAUUUCUUUAGUGGAUUUACGUGGGAAUCAAGGCUACAGUUGUGGACUAGUUGUUGGAACUGUCAUGUGGAGCCUCAUGUUUAAAUAUCGUAAUCCAAAAUGGUUUGUGGAAUUUUUUGAUAGACUCAUGCCUCACAAAAGAAGAAGGCCAAAGAAGAGAGCUCAGAGACGACGGAUUUAAUGGAAGAUUGAGAGGGCCAACUUGUCUUUGUUUGAUUUUGUGGACUAGUUAGUGAACUUUUCUGGUUCUGUUUUUGUCUUUCUGUUUGUUGUUUUGUAUAUGUUUGAAAGAAACAUAAUUAUUAUAUGUGUGGUAUUUUAGUAUCAAUGGUUAUUCAAGUUAAGUCUAUUUCUGUUUCAAGUUGACAGAAGUGAUCUACACAGCCACUCAUUAGCUAUGUUACUUAGACUCUUCAAAAAUGUCAAUGGGUACGUGUUGGAUUCUUCAAAAGUAAUGCAAUUUUUAAGGAAUCAACAUGGGUGUCAUUAUAUUUUAGGAUAGUCGAAGCAACAUAACUCAUCUUUCUUAACAUUUUCUGUUUCUGUAUUUAUUUCUUUUAAAGAUCAUUGCUUUGAUCUUAAUGGCUUUCAACCCAUAUUAGGAACACUUGAAAUGGCUGAACUCAUACACACAGAGGAUAGAAACUAUUCAGCUGUUGACUGAAGUGAUCCACUUAUUAGUACAACAAAACAGGAAAAGGCUACAUCCACCUCUGGGGCUCAUGUUGUUCUGUUUCUUCAAAUGCAAAACACUCUCUAUCAGGAUUUUCUUUAUUUUCAAGGUUCGAAUCCGAAACCCUUGGUUCAAUUUUACCUGGAACCAUGCAUUUAGCAUAACUAUAUGUCCUAUUGCAUUAUAGUUAUUAUACAAAGUGGAAAAGUUCAAGGGAUAAUAACACCAUCUCAAAAGUCGGGUGUGUAACUGAAAAUCUAAAUCAACUUUAGGGGUAUACUUAGGGCUGUUCAAAACUGAACCAUAACCGAUAAGUCAAUCGCAAAAUUGACUUAUUGGUAUUGGAUUAUCGGAUUAACGGUUGGUCAACGGAUUAAAAUUUUAUAGUUAAUGGUGCGGGGCGGAUUACUCAAUGGUGCGGGCCGGAUCACUCAAUUUCCUUCUAGGGUAAACCAUUAACCUUUUAAAAAUUAUCGUAGUUAGGAUAUUUAUUAAGUAAAUACUAAUGCGCUUGCACCCUCAAAAUUUAGUUCACAUGUGUUGUCACGCCCUGAGCCUACACCCUGGACGUGGCGGGCACUCGAAGACCAUUGCUGGUCCCAAGCGAACUGUUGGCCUAGUUUACUUGACUCAGCGGAAGACUUAAACUAAACAAAGAUAAGUUCAUAUAAUAAAUUGGAAUGUUAUAAAGGAACAUUCAACUGGACAUUAAGGCAAACUCAAGUCUGAACAUGGAGUAAUGACAAUGAAAAAACUAAAAACUAACAUCUGACUGUCUAUGAAGCCUCUAAUAACAACUGAGAUGGAUGUUGGGAUAGACCCCACAACAUCCUAAUAAACUAAACUGGAAAGCAAUGAAAUGGAUCCUCCGGAAAGCAAGGAGGCUCACCAACAGACUCUGGACUGCUCACUGGAUCAACGAUGCGUCAGGAUGCCGAUCCUAGUUACCUGUGUUUGCAUCAUAAUACGAUGCAGACCAACUGACAUCAGUACAUUGAGUGUACGAGUAUGCGAGUUGGAAUGCUAAAACAACAUAGACUAGAAAGAAUCUGAGAGAAACUGAAGAACUUACAUGACUCAACUCAACAUGACUGAACUCAUUUCAUUAUAAAUCAGUUUAAAAGCAAGUGCAAUAUAAAGAAAAGUUGUUUAAAAACAUGAUAUUAACUCUGUGUGUAUGCAAGAUACAAAUAACUCUGAGAUGUAUUUAAAAAUACAAUAAACUGAUGUAUAUAAAAAUACAAUAACUUCUGUGGGAGUUUCUCUAACCGACAACCACCACUUAUGAAACUAAGUGGUGAUACAACGUUUUACCUCACGUUACCCAAGGACCAUCNNNNNNNNNNNNNNNNNNNNNNNNNNNNNNNNNNNNNNNNNNNNNNNNNNNNNNNNNNNNNNNNNNNNNNNNNNNNNNNNNNNNNNNNNNNNNNNNNNNNNNNNNNNNNNNNNNNNNNNNNNNNNNNNNNNNNNNNNNNNNNNNNNNNNNNNNNNNNNNNNNNNNNNNNNNNNNNNNNNNNNNNNNNNNNNNNNNNNNNNNNNNNNNNNNNNNNNNNNNNNNNNNNNNNNNNNNNNNNNNNNNNNUUAUCCCGGGAUUAACUUACCUUAUCCCGGGAUUAACUUACCUUAUCCAUUACACCAAACGACCCCUAAGUCUUAAAACAAAGUUAAAAGCCUUUGCAAAAGACUUCUUGAAAAGACUCUAAGAAUUUCUUAGACUUGGCUCUUGACUUUCCUUGAAUUUAAAUUUAGGAAUUCAAGGUUAUGGUUUAUGUUUCUGGAUGAUUUCUAGACGUUUAGAAGUCAUUUAGAGUAGUUAGAAUCAAUGGAAAGUGUUAGUACACUUUAGAAGAACUUAAAUAGGCUAGACGACGGAAAACUGACGAAAAACGACGAUUUGGGCGCAUCCCGGGCGCGCUGCGCCAGCCCCAACUUACUGGGGCUCAAAUCUGGCGCACUGUUGGCGCGCUGCCCCAUCCCCUCGGGCGCAUCUGGGGCGCGUUGCGCCAGCCUCCCUUCAAGCAAAAUUCUAACGAACUUUUGCUCUCGUUUUCUGAUCCUAAAUCGUUUUAAUCUAAUUCUUUUUCUCAAUUUCACUUUAGAUUUAUGUACCCAAAUCAUAUACACAAGGAUCUAACUCAAGGAACUCAAGAACUAACAACUUAGUCAUCAAGAACUCCUAAAACUCAACUCAUGUUCAAGAACAAAAGUAAUUCAAGAACCACAUUCAAUAACAUUCAAAAUCCAAUCUUUUUGAAAUGAAAUCGCUGAAUCAAACAUGCUUGGCACGUGGGUAAACGAACCCAACAUUGAGAUAGACUCACAUACCUUAAUUGAUUGAAUCCUCGGCCAAAUUCGCAAGCAAUUCCUUACGACGACAACGAAUCUAGCUUUUUCCUCCUUUGUCUUUUCUUGCGUUCUUCCUCCAAAACCCUAGUUCUAUUUGGUAAAUGUCUAAACUGAUUUAAUUCAGCUUAGACCCCUAAUUAAUUACCAAAAAUGAAUUAAAAUAAAAGGGUAAGGAAAAGACCAAACUACCCUUUAAAAUCCGGAUUGGACAUUUCCUUAAUCCAACAACCCAACUUCCAAAGGGAAUAUCUCACUCAUAUGAACUCGUAAUCGUGCAAACUUGGCGGCGUUGGAAAGAUAAUUCCAAGAGCUUUACAAUUAUACCUGGAAGUACACCUAACUCAUCUUGAUCUAGGAGUUAUCUCCGUUUGAAGUUGGCCCAAAAAUCAACUUUUCUUAACUUAAACAAAUUUUCCAGAUUUUUGUUAUUUCCAAAAAAAAUGACUAUUUCAACUUCUUAGCUUCUUCCUAGUUAUUUCAAUUUGUGAGAUGUUACAUGUGUCUCACUGUGAUUUACAAUUACUGAAUUACCAGCUUAAGUAGGGCUAGAAAAAAAUGUUUUGUUUGAUGGGAGAUCAAUCUAAUUGUGAUUGAAAGUGAAAGAAGGGAGCACGGAAUGUUGGAGCCAAUACACCAACCGAUAACCAUCCAUUAAUUCCUAACCCGAUACCGAGUCAACCGAUAGCUUAUCCAUUGGCUAGCAGAUUAAUUUCUUUCUCGUGUUUGUAAUUUUAUCUUGUUUUAUUUUUUCUUUCACUUAGACUCCAUAUUUAUUUAUUAAGAAAUUAAUUAAAUAUAUAAUUAUGAAUUUGGUAAUUAGAAUGAGUUGUGAGAGUUAAACGAUAAAUUCAAAAUUUAUAGAAAUCAAAUUUUGGCUCCAUUUCUGAAAGGUGAGGUAAAGAUAGGGCUUGGAGUUUAUGAAAUCUAGAUUUUAGAAAAAGACCGCACCUUAAUAGGCUUUUGAUAGAUUAUUUGAAAAUUUUAAAUAUUAAUAUAUGAUUUGAGCUGAAGUUACUAAACACUUUUCGAACCCAAGCUAUACUUCUUUCUCAGGGUAUACCCUCCACAACUUCACUCUUAAUCAUAUAUUUUGACUUUGAAUCAUUCUAGUACUAGAAUAAGGAUAAUCAGCUAGGCAAUUAAGCAACACUUUCUGGCAUGGUGGUACAACUGCCAACAACUAGAAACAUUUUUCAUAUUUCUUAAAUUCAAUCAAUGUAGUAACUUGUAAACUUAAGUUUCAUAGUUAAGAUAUGGUAAAAAAAAUAAAAAUAAUAUCUCUUUUAUUGAGUAAGGUAUAAUCUACAGAAAUUUUUAUGGGCCUCAAAAAUGGGCUGCUCCUUUUAAACAUGGGAUGGGCUUCUCUUCUCUUAAUGGGCCUUAUGCUGCACGAGCCUGUAUUAGUUGGAGCUCCGAAACAGGAAUAGAACACCGGGUUAAGGAUUUGAAAAUUAUCUUUCCAAAUGACAUUCAAGCUAGGUGCUCUAAUAUAUUUUACUCGCUUUCCUUAACUUCCUUGAUUUAUCUUUAUCUAUACUGACAGUGUAAAACUUAUCACUUAUAAUAGUUAACACGUUAUUUUCCUGAUUUCAAAUUAUUAAUCUCAUGAAGUUUCACUUAUAGUUACUUUUAGAUGACUUGAUAGUGAAAAAAAAUAUUCUUUGAAACUUUGUUUCAAAUUGUCUAGCAUACAAUUAUCCCAGAACAAUGUAGGGGCGGAUCUAGUGAAGCAGCUACGAGUUCAUUCGAACCAAGUAGCUUUGCUUAAGACUCUUUAUAUAUGUUAAAAAAUGAAUUACAUAUUUUUCAACCUUUCAAAAUAAAUGGUACUUGUAUUGUUACCAUGUAGUACCUAAGUGUAAUGGUUACGCAUAAUUUGUAAAUUUUGUAAUGAAGGGUCUAUCGGAAACAACCUCUCUUCUCUACCUCCACAAGUUAUGAUAAGGUCUGCAUACACACUACCCUCCUCCUCAGACCGCACUUGUGGGAUUACAUUGAGUAUGUUGUUGUUUGUUCAUUUAGUUGUUGUGAAAAACUAUAAGAUAGUACCAUUUUUUGUUGUGUGUUACACAUGAUUCAGUCCUUAAGACAGCAAAGCUGGUCUUCUGUAGGAGAUAUUUGUCUCAAGUUCACAUUUGAUAUGUGUUACACAUGGUUCUAUAUAUGUGGAUAGGAAAAAUCUAUGUAGGAGAUAUUUGUCUUAAAUAACAUCACCAUUGAUGCUGGAAUACAAAUCACUUUCCCUAGCCUAGAAGUUUUGCAGUUUUCUUGUAAACUGAAGGAUUUUUCACACUUGUUGAGAAAUGUAAAGACAUUUGUGUACUUGGAUAUUUCUGCUCCCAAUUGCACACGCAAAUGUAUGUGGUCGCGGAAGAAAUAUAGUGACUCUUAACAGAAUCGGAUUAUAUAUCGAACCCAAAAGACUUGUCAAUUAACUAUUUUACUAAAUUAUACUGGUCUAAUUAUUUAUUUAAGAGUGCCAAAAGAAUUGACUUUUAUUUAAAUACUAAGAAUGCAAGAAUUAAAUAAUAAAAUUACUUACAAUGGUUGGAAAAUUUCAGGGCCGCAACAUGCAUAGGGUUCAUGUAUCACAUCUCAUGCAUGAAUUAACUACAGUUAUCAAAUUACUGAUUUACACGGUUGAUUUUAUGAUCGAUCAUGGUCUUCCGACCUCUAAUCGUCUACUCAAUUUAGUUGUUUAACUACAUCGUUGAGUGAGGAUAGACAGUCCUAAUUGACGAGCAUUUAUAUUUCCUCAUGUUUUGUGACCAAGCUAGGUGUUCGUCUGAGCGUCAUUCCUAAACACAAAUCAACUCAAUUUAAUGGAAGAUCAACCUUUUUGUAUCCAUUGGUCUAUCUACCUUAGUGUCUCCUGAUUUUAAGAGUAGACAAUAGAUUUAUCUCUAUGAUGGCCAGUCAAGAAAUACUAAAACAAGAAUACAAAAGUAAUUUAAGCGAUAAUCGAUGUUCAACACUUACACAUAGCUACAACCCUAGAACAAGGGCCUUUAACUACUAAUGUCUAAGAAAAUAUAUAGAAGCCUAAAAAGUAUUGACAACUUUAUAGUUAUACCUAUGAUUCAUCUCCCCCAAUAAUUAUUUCUAUGAACUAUUUAUAGAUAUAGAAAAUUCCAAAUAAAAUAACUGAGUCCAAAACAAAUCGGAAAAUCAAAACCAAACGGAAUUUGACUUCCACGUCAACAAUGGUCGUCCAACUGCCUCAAUUCUCUUUGCUGCCUUCAGAAUCAGCCACGUGGCAACUAAUGUAGGUAAACUUCAUUAAUUUCCUUUCUUUGUACGUUUGAAUGAAUAUUAAGUUGUCUGCUUGAUUUUCUUCUAUAAUCUUUCAUCUUUAAUUCGUUUUAGGUCCAAAUUUUUUCAUCUUCACACCAAUUUAAUCUUAUAAAUAAAAUACACUACUUAGCAUAAUUCAUAAAAUUCAUGCUAAAAAAGGACAAAUAUAUAUAAUAAAUGUAAGGUAAAUAAUGAUUAAAAUAUAUAUUUUUAGCCUCAUAUCAAUAAGAUUCGUGGUCAAAUCCCUAACUGGUUUAAUGGCAUGAGGUGGGGUUCGUAAACCUUUCACAUAAUUCAUUAACAGGCCACCUACCAAAAUUUCAUUACCAUAAUGUAGAGUAUCUUGAUCUUAAAUUUAACUCCCUUCGGGGUCCACUACCUUCAUCCAUAUGUAACCUAAUAUAUAUUCCUUUAACAAUCUGUACAUUGAAGCAACUCACACUUUUAGAUCUUUGGAGGAGAAAUUCCUGCAUUUGAAAGUUCGAUUUUUUUGUGUUUGCCGUAGCAGUGGACUUAUAGGCCUAUUCAUCCUUGUAAUGAAAAUUGAACAUGAAUGAAAAUAAAAACCAAAUGAAAGAAAAAAAAUAUGGAGUAUAUAUUAUUUUGUUAGGUCUUCUUCGUCCUCUAACAAACACUACAAAAUAUGAGUAAUAAGUUGUUAGAAGUGAGUAGUACUCAUCUAUGGACCACAAGUUGCGUACCAUUUAUGAUUGUAUAGAUUCCAUGGAAAAAUUGCAUAGAAAUUUAAUGCAUUUGUACAACUUGGUUUCCUCUAUUCCGAAUGUACAAUAAUUGUUCUCACAAUUGGUUCAAUGACGCGUUUUGACCUUUUAUGAUUAUAUAGAUUCCGUGGAAAAAUUGUACUAAAAUUUAUUGCAUUCAUACAACUUGGUUUCACUUGAUUAAAGGGACCAAUUUCACAUCAUCUUGCUUAACACAUACUGCAGAGAUAGUCGAUCUAUGACCUCGAAAUGAACAACAACAUCUAGAGAAAAUGAGGACAUAGUGAGUAUUAUAUUGUUAAGUCUUCUUCGUGCUCUAAAAAAUCUCGUGAAACACUACAAAAUAUGUGUAACAUGUUGUUAUAAGUGACUAGUACUUAUUCAUGAAGUACAGGUGACUUUGAGUCUUCCUGGAAAUUGACUUUAACACUUAGGAUGUGUUUCUUUUCUUUCGUUAAUUUGUACCUCAUAGUCCCAUGCAUAGACAAGUCAGCAAUGCUACUUUAUGAAAUAUCGUUUAGUUAAUUAAUUGUUCACAUUAUUUAAUGUGGAGGUCGUUAUAACAAUUAAGAGAUGAAAUGGUGUUUAGUUAAUUAUAUCAUCAUUUCUUACGUGACUACUUAUUUUAUUAACUUAUUUAUAUCUGGGCAAUUAUCAUGAACCCGCAUUAUUAUUUUUACGUUUAUCUUUUUUAUUCUUUCAUUAUUAAAUACUCUAAAGUCUAUCAAACGGUAAAACCUUUUGAAUUAUACAAACAAUAUUGUUGGGUGUUAAUAAAAAGAUCAAUCUGUUUUUUGGUGUAUUCUUUAAAUUACAAGCACUAUAACAAAAACAACUUUUAGCUCAAAAGUCACUUAACUAUGAAUUCUUUUCUCAAAAAGUCACUCAACAUUGAAUUUUAACACAAAUAUCACUCAAUUAUGAGUGGUUUACUUACAAAGUCACUCAAUUAUGAUUGUUUUACUUACAAAGUCUGUUAACAUAUUUAAUUGUUUUUUUAAUUAAAAUUUGUUGGUAUAAUUUUCUUAUUUAAAAUUAAUAUUUUAAAAAAAAGUAAUAUCCAUUAAAUAAUUUAAUGAUCUGCCCCGCUAAAAAUAUAAUAUUGAUUUUUUUUUUAAUUGGAAUUCAAGAAUAAUACGGGAAUAAAUUAUUCCAUGCAUCAGAAUUCUAAGCAUUAUGAGGAAUAAAUUAAUUUCCUCUUCAUCCCCUCCCCCUUUCUCAGUUGCUGCCUCUUCUUCCUCUUUUAGUUUUUUUAAUUGGAAUUCAAAAAUAAUACUGGAAUAAUUUCAUGCAUCAGAAUUCCUAAAGCAGAGGAGAAAGAAUCCGACAAUAAUUUAGGAGAAUUAGCGGUAAAAUAAAAUGGGUCAAUAUUAUAUUUUUAGGAGGUCAUUCAUUAAAUGAUUUAAAUGAAUAUUUUUUUAUUUUUUAAAAUAUUGCUUUUAAUAAAAUUUUAUACCAGCAAAUUUAAUUAAAAAAUUAACUAAAUAGGUCAAAUGACUUUGUAAGUAAAAUACUUAUAGUUGAGUGACUUUGUAAGUAAAACACUCAUCAUUGAGUGACCUUUUAGUUAAAAUUCAAGUUGAGUGACUUUCUGAGAAAAGAAGUCAUAGUUGAGUGACUUUCUGAGAAAAAAAAUUCAUAGUUGAGUGACUUUCUGAGAGAGUAGUGCAUAACUGAGUGACAAUAUUAUAUUACGUGGUUUUGAGUAAGUUUUAUUAUUCUAACUUUAUAUUAUAUAUUUUUUCAUUGAAAAUUUUCGUUGUUUGUAUUCUUACUUCAUAAUGGUCUAUGACUUUGUGUACAUCCUACCUUCUUGAAACUUUACUUGUAGGAUUACAUUAAUCAGUAUGUUAUAAGUAUUCAAUUUAUGUUCGAGUAAUCAACACCAAAUAUUUGGGCAUAUCCCUUGACAACAAGCCUAGCCUUGUAUUUAUUGAUAGAACCAUCAGAAUUGAGCUUGGUUCUAAACACCCAUUUUACUCCAAUGACCUUCAUAUCUUUCAGUCGGUCGACUAACUCCCAAGUUUUGUUUUUCUUGAUCAUUAGCAUCUCCUGCUCCAUUGGCGUUUUCUCCAUUUUUUAUCUUGAAGUGCUUCAUCGUGCCCUGCAGGCUCACAAACUGCCACAUUACUUUGUUGGUAGAUGUCAGAGAGUAGUCUUGUACCUCUAAUUGGAAGAUCAUCCACCAACUCAUUUUUCCAGUGAUCCGAUGCCUGCUCCUCUGAAGCUUUGACUGAAAGUUGAUUGUCCUUCCAGUCCCAUUUCUCUUCAUCAACAAAGUGCACAUCUCUACUGACAAUCAUCUUCCCUGUUUGUGGAUUAUAUACUUUGUAGGCCUUGGAGGAUGAGCUACAACCCACAAAUAUUCCAGGAAGUGCCUUCUUGUCAAGUUUGUCUCUUUUAACCUGUGGCACAUGGAAGAAACAAACACAACCAAAUACUUUAGUGAAGCUUAGUGAUGGUUUGUAUCCAUUCCAAGCCUCAAAUGGAGUUUUAUUCAACAAUGCUUUAGUAGGAAGCUGAUUUUGGAGAAAUAUUGCCGUAUUAGCUGCCUCAGUCCAAAAACUUUUCGGCAACUCUUUUUCAUGCAACAUGCACCGCGACAUCUCCAUUAUAUAUCUGUUUCUCUUUUCACUAACUCCAUUUUGUUGCGGAGUAUAUGGAGCAGUAAGCUGAUGAGUAAUACCCGCUUUCUCACAAAAUUUGUUAAAUUGUUCAAAAUUAUACUCUUUUCCAUUGUCAGACCACAGAGAUUGGAUUCUGCAACCACUUUGAUUUUCCACCAUCUUCUUGAACUUCAAGAAAAUUCCAGCCACUUCUGAUUUAUAUUUCAUAAAAAAAAUCCAGCAGAAUCUUGUAUAGUCGUCAAUGAAUAUAACGUAGUAUAGACUACCAUUAAGGGAUGGUGUUCUUUGAGGUCCUGCAACAUCUGUGUGAAUCAGUUGCAACCUUUGAGAAGUCCGCCAUGUUGCUUUAGGAAAUGACUUCUUAUUCUGCUUACCAAAUUGACAAGCUUGACAACUUGGUAAGUGAUCAACUAGAGUUGGUAGUCCUCUUGUCAUAUCUUCCUUCUCCAGCAACAAUAGUGCUUGUAGAUGGCAAUGGCCAAGUCUCUUGUGCCAGGUUUCCGUUACACUUGCCUUCAUGGAAUAAGCUAGUCACUCUUUCUCUGUUGGAUCAAAGGAAAAAAUCCUUCCUCUCAUCUUCACCCUGAAAAUUUCAUUUCCAGUAGUGUCACUGAUUUGACAGUGAUGAUCUUCGAAGAAAACCUUGAAUUCUUUUUCCAUCAGAUGUCCUACGCUUAGCAAAUUCUGAUCAAUUUCAAGAACAUACAGAACCUCUGAAAUUUUCUUUGUGCCAGUGCUCGUCUUGAUAGCUAUGGUUCCAAUUCCUUUGACAGGAAGGUGAUCUCCAGUUCCUAUCCAAACCUUCGAAAUUUCAGUGGGCUUCAACUCCUUGAAUAAACUCUCGUCAUGAGUCAUGUGGUUAGUGCAACCUGUAGUAUCCGGAAAUUUGAAAAUAGCUAUGACGAGGCUGAGAAUUGGAAAUAGUCACUUUUUGGAAAGAAUUCAAAUCUGGAAAUUUGGUUAAGUGUGGGAAAAAAAUGAGUUUUUGGCCAACUUUGAACAGUCAUAACUCCUAGAUCAGGAUAAGUUAGGUGUAGUUCCAGUUAUUUUUGCGAAGCCCUUGGAAUGAUCUUUCCAACACUGCCGAGUUUGCUCGAUUCCGAGUUUGUAUGAGUGAGUUAUGCCCUUUGGAAGUUGGGUUGUUGGUAUAGGAAAGUUCACCCGAAAUUGUAAGGGUAUUUUGGUCUUUUCCCUAACCAAUUCUUUUGGUUAUAUUAGUGUGUUAGACUGAUUUUGGAUUAGUUUUUCCCAUUUUAAAGAGUAAGAGAGAGGGUUUGUGAGUGAAGAGGAGAAGAAGAGGAGAAAGAGGGGAUCAAGCAAGGAUUCAUCAAAGAUCGUCGUGGAUAUCGUCGGGGGUGAUCCCUACUAGGUAUGUGAGUUCAUAGUGUUGGGUUGGUUCUUUCCCCCACACGCCAAUCUCGUUUUAAUUUCGAGAAAAGAUUGAUUGUGUUUGUUGAAGUUGUUGGUUGUGAUUGUGUUGAAGUUCUUGUUGAUUUGGGCAUGUUUUCGGUUGUGUUUCUGGGUUAAAUAUAUUGUAUGUUGAGGGGUUUUAUGAUAUUAAGUGUUUGGGGCUGGAAACUUUGAAGUUGGGAAGGUUUAGAAUUGGAAAAACAAGGAAGAAAAGUCGAAUUUUCGAGGGAAAAGGGGUGGGCCAUCGCGCCUGCCAGCGCGCCCCAAAAGGGGUUCUGAACUUUCCCCCUUGGGGCGGCGCACCUAGCAGCGCGCCAGCAGGCCCCUCUGAAGUUUUAGGGCUGGCGCCCCGCGCCUCUCAGAGCAACAAGGACGCCAACCUUUCCCAUUCAUUCCCCACAUUUUCAUGCAUGUUCCUUAGUAUUGUACUUAUGUUUCAUAGUUGUUUCCAACACUCCAAGGUACGUCUAAACGUCAAGAACUCAUCGAUAAACAUGUGAUCAUAUACCUUGAAUCCAUAAUCCAAUUCAAGGCGAGUUAGGAUCAAGUCAAAGUGAAGUUAAGGGUCAAGUCUAGAAGUUAAGAAGCAAGUCAAAGCAAGUUUUCAAAGGUGUUCAAGAGUCUUUAUUGAACGUUCUAACUUCAUUUUAAGGCUCAAGUUUCAAGUCAAGUAAAGAGUAUAGAGCUUCAAGCUAAGUAAAGAGUCUCAGGUUUCAAGUUAAGUCAAGAGUAUAAAGUUGAGUUCAUUUCUCAAAAACUAUUAGGGACCUAAGUAUUCCCAAAGACGUUUAUAAAUGUUUUUACAUUUGAGUAAGAAGGGAACCAUGUUCUCCAAAAAGAGCCUUUGGGCUAAGUUUGAGUAAUUAUCUCAACUAAAGAAAGAUUUGUUUAAAACACUUAUGAGCUAAAAUAUAUUUUUGGGAGUAGUCUUGAGCACCGAGUUGGGGACAUGAGUUCAUAUUAACUCAACUCUCCAUAAGAACCAUGUGGCCAACAUGGGAUUUAACGGGUCAUACUUUUUAGAUAAUCACGUAAGUUAAGCUAGUGGAUCCACUUAGUAAAGUUAGCUUCCUAUAUCACGGCAAGGUAUAGGAUGGGCCUCGGCAGUGCGAGGUAAAGCGCUGUAUCAUCACUAUAGUUCUUAAAUGAUGGUUGUCGGAUAGAGAAACUCCCACAGCAGUAGAAAGUGCUUGGUUCCUCGAGGAGUUCUGCUUAGUAUGAAUGGGGGUAUGGGACUUCAUUCAUACAUUGCACAAGUAGACCUUGAGAGGAAGCAUGGUAUUUUCAUGAUAUUAAAAAUAUGAUUUUUACGUCAUGUUUUAAGAGUUUUACAAGCUUUAUAUAUUGCAUGUGUCUUAUUGCUUUAUAUAUUGAGUUCAGUUAUUCAUGAGUCCUCCUUGCUUUCCAUAGGACUCGGUUAUUUUGUGUUCUUAGUUUUGUUUUAUUAGGGUGUUGCGGGGUCUGUCCCAACAUCCAUCUCAGUAUUUUUAGAGGCUUCACAGACAGUCAGUCAGUAAGUUUUGAGUCUCUCAUCUAUGUAUAUAUAUAAUAUUCUAUUUUGAGACGCGAGUUGCUUUUUUGGCUAGCUUUUGUCAGUUAGGUUGUUUUAUGACCUUUCAUUGCAUUGAGUUAUGCUGUUGAGUUAAGUUUCUGUUGAGUUAAGAAAAGCCAGGCCAAGGGUUCGCUUGGGGGCCAACAAUGGUGUUCGAGUGCCGGCCACGUCCAGGGUGUAGGUUCGGGGCGUGACACAACCACUGUCAACUAACCAAGAAUCUGUUGAGCUCUUACUUGAAAAGCAUGUUGCAAUAAAAGGAUGAUCUUCUUCUUCUUGAUCAACAACUUGAGCAUUUCCUUCCUCCUGCGGGGCCUAAUUCUUGCAAAUCACUGCUUCGUGUCCAAGCUUAUUGCAUUUCUUACAUUUAGCAUCAAGUCUCUUCCAACACUUGAAUGGUGCAUGGCCUUUUCUUCCACAAUGGUGACAAGGGGGAUAACUUUUUUUCGCACUUCCUCCCUUAGUUUUGUUGUUGGCUGAUGUUUCUCCUUCACACACUGCUUGAUUCUUUUUCUUCUUCUGAAUUUUGUUAACCUGAUGCUUACUGACAAGUGCCCCUUCUGUUGUAACCUCCUGUCUCAUGAGUCUUCUUUGCUCUUGAGCUUUCAGGGAAUUGAGCAACUCUGUCAAACUAAUCUUUGACAAAUCCUUAGUAUUUUAUAAGGUUGUAAUUGUUGCUUCAUACCUUUCAGGAACUGUUACAAGGAUCUUCUCAACAAUUCUCGAGUCUGAAAAUGUAGAGCCGAGUAGCCUCACCUUUUUUGCAAUAUUUAGAAGUCUAUCCGAAUAUUCCUUCACUGUUUCAGAUUCCUUCAUUUUUUGCAAUUCAAACUCCCUAAUUAAGUUUAAAACUUGCAUACCUUUUAUUCUCUCAUCUCCAGAAUACUCUUCCUUAAGAUAAUCCCAUACUUCUUUAGCAGUUUUCAGAGACAUUAUUCGCGUGAAAACUAUUGACGAUACAACAGCAAAUAAACAUGCCUUGGCCUUCGAUUUCUUUGUCUUCUGUUCCUUGUGUGCUUUAAUCUGAGCAAUGGUAGGAUUAUUUGGUAGGGCUGGAAUAUCGUAAUCCUCUUCCACAGCUUCCCAGAGAUCCAAAGCAUCCAAGUACGUCUCCAUUCAUACUGCCCAAAUCUGAUAAUUAUCUCCAUCAAAGACCGGCGGAGCAAUUGGUGAGAAACUUGCUUCAGCAUCCAUGGCUACUCCAACUCGAUCACAAAUCCCUUAAGAUGAAAGCUCUGAUACCAACUGUUUUUAGUAAGACUAAUGACAGAUAACACAAUGAAGACAAUGUCUAGUUUGCUACAGAAAGGAAAGCAGGAGAAUACAAGGAAUUUAAAUGUGAAGAUAACUAAGAGAAAAGCUUAUGCAGAAAGUUGUAUUUCAGUAAAAUCAACCAAAAAUACAUAAACAUACAAUUAAGUAACUGAUAUAGAUCAUGGUCCUACUUUUAAGUCAUGGUACUAACCAUGGUAACUACCCCUAAAAUAACUGAAAAAAGAAAUACAGGAAACUUAGAAAUAGAUCCUGCAGUCCUAAAGCAACUAACUAAUAGUCGUAAAUGGUAAUCGAUUUGAAGGACCUGUCCCUGUGUCGUUGCUCAAAUGUCAUAAUUUAGAAGUUCUUGAUGUGGGGAACAAUGCUAUAAAUGACACGUUUCCAUCUUGGCUUGAAAUUCUUCAAGAGCUGCAGGUCCUUAUAUUAAAGUCGAACAAGUUCCAUGGACCUAUAAGUACGUGUCAAACUAAGUUUUGCUUUCCCAAGUUGCGAAUUUUUUAUUUUUCUCGUAAUGAUUUCAGUGGCUCACUUCCUGCAAAAGUUUUUGGAAACUUCAAGGCAAUGAUCAAAUUAGAUGACGAAGACACAAGAGAGAUCAGGUACAUGGAAUCUAUGUCGAAUUUGUCAUCUAUCGCAUCGUAUGAGGAAUCAGUGAGUUUGGUAAUCAAAGGGCACGUUAUUGAGCUACAAAGAAUCAGCACAAUUAUGACAACCAUAGAUCUCUCAAGCAACCAUUUUGAAGGUGUCAUUCCGGAAACACUAAAAGAUCUCAGCUCACUUUGGCUACUCAAUUUAUCCCAUAACAAUCUCAUAGGUCAUAUUCCAAUGGAAUUGGGGCAAUUGAAUACACUUGAAGCUUUAGAUCUCUCCUGGAAUUGGCUCACUGGAAAGAUUCCGCAGGAAUUAACAAGAAUGAACUUUCUGGCCUUCUUAAACAUCUCUCAAAAUCAUCUCGUCGGACCAAUUCCUCACAGUCUACAGUUCAACACAUUUGAAAAUGACUCGUAUGGCGGCAACCUUGAUUUAUGUGGUCCUCCUUUAUCAAAACAAUGUGGAACGAGAGAUUCAUCACAUGUUCCUCAAGCAUUGGAGUCCUAUUUUUUUAGUGGAUUUACAUGGGAAUCAGUAGUCAUAGGCUACAGUUUUGGACUAGUUGUUGGAACUGUCAUGUGGAGUCUCAUGUUUAAAUAUCGUAAGCCAAAAUGGUUAGUGGAAUUUUUUGAUGGACUCAUGCCUCAGAAAAGAAGAAGGCCAAAGAAGAGAGCUCAGAGACGACGGACUUAAUGGAAGAUUGAGAGGGGCCAACUUGUCUUUGUUUGAUUUUGUGGACUAAUUAGUGAACUUCUCUGGUUCUGUUUUUGUCUUUUUAAUAUUCUGUUUGUUGUUUGUAUAUGUUUGAUAGAAACAUAAUUAUAUAUGAGUUAUUUUAGUAUCAAUGGUUAUUCAAGUUAUGUUUCUGUUUCAAGUUGACAUAAGUGAUCCACACACCAAACUUAUUAAUUAGCUAUGAUACCCGGACUUUUCAAAAAUGCCAACAGAUACUUGUUGGAUUCUUCAAAGUAUUGCAUUUCUCAAGGAACCAACACAGGUGCGACAUCAUUAUAUUUUAGGAGAGUCGGAGCAACAUAGUUCAUUAGUACAACAAAAAGGAAAAAGCAAAGCAGUAAGCACAUAGAGUUUGGUUCAUGAUUGAAAUCACUUGAUAUUAGAAAGUUCAUAUAUUCAGCAUAACUGCAUGUCCAUUUUACAUUACAGUUCUUCUUAUACAAACUAGAAAAGAAAAUCUUGUGUUUACAGAAACUGAAAAUUGAUUUUCUAUAAUGUAAUACAUUUGCAUUGACCACACUACCCUUUUGUCACAGUGUUUUAUAGGUUACGAAGUUUAAGAAAAAAAAGUAAGAUUUUUUAAAUUUGUGAUUUUGAAUAUGACGUGCGAUUUUUGUGGCUAUAUAUAAAAGUAUGAAGUGUUGAUCUUUUUUGAAAUAGAUUAAUAGGAAAUAGUGUUACGUAAAAUGAAAGACAGAAUGUACUAUAUAGUGUGAUAUUGAACCAGAUCUUGAGAUAUAUAGAGUGCAAACUAGCUAGCUGUAAAGUAUCAACUUUGUCCCCAUUAAGUUUUUUCUACUACAAAAAAACUAGAAAAGUGAAAAGUGUUGUGGAAAAUUAUAGAAUGUACCUAACAUGUUUGAAAACAACUAAUCAGGAAUUUCUGAUACAAUUUCUCUGCAAUCUUUAACAUUAAAUAUUGACCAAGUCAAGUCUCUCUGGUGGUGGAAUUAGAAUGUUGAAUUAGCUUUACUUUUAUUUCUUUCUUGUUUAACAUCUUAUAUUUAUAAAUAAAAUAAGGCAACAUGUCCUAUCAUUAUUAUACUAAAUUUAUUUUUCUUCUUGUUUAAGAGCUUAUAUUUCUGUAAAGAAUGUGUAUGCUAUAUUUUUACAUUUUUCACUUCUGAAUAAGUAGUAGUAUAUGAAUCUUGCAUAAUAUAACCUGCUUUUCCAAGAGGCCUUUGUGUAUUAAAUUUUUUGUAUCUAUUAUCUAGAUUAAGCUUCAUCUAGAUAAUGCAAAAACCGACUCUGGUUAGUCUUCGCGGAAAUUUGCCUAAAGACUUAGAAGUCAUCGUCUGAUAGUUGCAGUAAAGUACCCCUUUUUUCUUUGUUGCUUAAUUAAAUACGAGACGGUCCUAUGAAGAAUAAUGGAGUUUCCCUCAUUAACUUAAUGUGAAAACUCAUGUGUAACUAACAAGUUUGAAAACAGCACAAGAGACAACUAAUCAAACACCAACUUGGAAAUUUCUCAUAAUAGCUUUUAGGAACGCUUUGUAUAAUCCAAUGUUUUUUUGAGCUAUUGACUUAGUACAACACAACAGGAAAAGGCUGCAUCCACCUGUGGGGCUCAUGUUGUUCAUGGGUUAUUUAUCAGUCUAGACCUUAGUGGUAGUUAUCUUUAUGGAACUGUAGAGAAUAGCAGAAGAAAAGUAUAAUCUGCUAGCCCAAGAUCAUUAACUAUAAAAGAUCGGAAUAUUCAACUAAAGAAGAGGAAGCUAGAAAGAACUUGUUUAUGGAAUAAGACUCUUUUAUUUGGGUUGUUCUUGAGUUGUAUACAAAUGACUGAGGCCACCCCUAUUUAUACUUAUGUGGGGAUGGUUCUAGACAUUACAAGAUCUAGACUAUUUUCUACAGUGAGUGUUACAUACGGGACCAAUUUCACAUCAUCUUGCGUAACAAACAAUGCAGAAAUAGUUAAUGACCUCGAAAUGAACAACAACAUCUUGAGAAAAUGAGGACAUAAGGGGUAUUAUUUUGUUAAGUCUUCUCCGUCCUCUAAAAAGUCUUGUGGAACACUACAAAAUAUGAAGUAACAAGUUGUUAGAAGUGAGUAGUACUCAUCCAUGGACCACAAGUUGUGUAGUUAGUGAUGCCAAGGUUGUAUUAUUUUUUCUCCCUUUAUGCCAAAGUUGGACAAAAUGAAUAUUGUAUAUAUAAUUGGUACUAUCAAACAAAAUUUGAAGACUUGAGUCUUUCUGGAAAAUGACUUAAAACACUUUGGACAACUUUUUUGCAAUCACAAAUUAGUUAGUGGUAGAUGUGGGGGCAAAUACCCCAUUUUAUUUGUCUGGAUAUGUUUCAUUCUCUUUUUCUAUUCACACUUUUACAGUAAAGAUGAAAGAGAAAAUAAUUUAUGUGUGAACAAAUUAAAUAUACCACAACAUGAUUUUCUUAAAAAUAAAAAAAAUAAAAAAAGUAAUUUUUGUACAAGUAGGGAUAUAUGUGAAGCCACUUUUGUAACAACGGGUAUAUUAACUCUAAAAUGACAAAGUUGAGGGAUAUAUCAUGCCCUUUUCCUUAAUGUGCCUUGCAAUGAUAACAAUAUAAGUUGAAUAGGAUACAGUUCACUACAAUUAUACCACAAAAACAACUUUUUUGAUGUAGUGUCGAUCACUACACCUUUAUCUUGAGUCGAGGGUCUACGAAAACAGCCUCUCUACUACUUUGGUUAUUCUCCAUCUCUUUCAUGUUUGAACUGUAUCAUAUAGAUGGAGUUUCCCUCAUUAACUAAAUGUGAAAAGUCUUGGAAAACAACACAAGAGACAACUAAUCGGAAAUUUCUCAUAAAAUUUCUAAUUAUGCAGGAAAUUAAGACACAUAUCAAACAAAAUUUUGAAUAAAAAGCAAAUAAAAAAAUUAAAAAAAAAUUCCACACGGUAUUAUUGUUCAUUUUUUUCCUCACUUGACUUAGUCAAGAAAUAGUUUCUCUCAUUGGAAAUUUCUUAGAAGUUCAGCAAAAAACAAUUCCACAUAAUGGGACCAAAUUCACAUCAUCUUGCCUAACACACACUGCAGCGAUAGUUAAUGACCUCAAAAUGAACUCAACAUCUAGAGAAAAUUAGGACAUAAAGAGUAUUAUUUCGUUAAGUCUUCUCCGUACUCUAAAAAGUAUUGUGGAACACUACAAUAUAUGAGUAACAAGUUGAUUUUUAAUACCAUUGUUUAAUCUCCUUAAUGUUUUGAGUAAGAUUUGAUUUUUUUUUUUACGCGAUGCGUGACGCCUAGGCAGACGUGCCCUGAGUAAGAUUUGGUUAUUCUAACUUUAUAUUAUAUUUUUUCAUUGAAUUUUUUUGUUGUUUGUACUCUUCCUUCAUAAAGGUCUGUGUAUAUCCUACCUUCUUGAAACUUUACUCGUAAGAUUACAUUAAUCAUUAUGUUAUAGGUAUUCAAUAUACAUAGGACACUUAGAACUAGUAUAUAUAUGUAUGGAUGAUACUGACUGAUUUGUAAGAAGAACACAUCCAUCCUGAACACAAACAAACAAAAAAUGGUCAUGAGUCUGUUUUUCUUUUAUUCAUUUCUAUGUUUUGUGUUUUUAUUAAGUGAAUGCUUUUCUUCAUCCUUUGAUCAUCAUCUUUGCUCUCCCACUGAAGUUUCUGCUUUGCUUCAGUUUAAGCAAUCCUUUAAAAUAUCUGAUUACUCUACUCUUCAGUGUGAUACUUCUUUCCCAAAAACAAAGUCUUGGAAUGAGAGUAGGGAUUGCUGCAGUUGGGAUGGAGUCACUUGUGACUUAUUAAACGGUCAUGUUAUCGGGUUAGACCUUAGCUGUAGUCAGCUUCGUGGAAGUAUUCAUCCCAAUAGCAGCCUCUUCCAACUUCAUCAUCUCCAAACACUAAACCUUGCUUACAAUAACUUUUCAACUUCUUCAAUCUCACAUAACAUUGGCCGAUUGAGGAAUUUGAGGCAUCUCAACCUUUCUAAUUCUUUCUUUAGUGGGAAAAUCCCAACAGAAAUCUCAUUCCUUUCCAAUUUGGUUUCACUUGAUCUUUCUUAUAGUUAUGGAUUACAACUUGAUGAGAGAACAUUUGAAACAAUGCUUCACAACUUUACAAAUCUGGAGGUACUAGCUCUCUUUCUUGGCAACAUCUCGUCACCGAUACCUGUAAGUAUUCAUCCCAAUAGCAGCCUCUUCCAGCUUCAUCAUCUCCACACACUAAACCUUGUUAACAAUUUCUUUUAUCCUUCUUCAAUCCCAAAUGGCAUUGGCCGAUUGAGGAAUUUGAGGCAUCUAAAACUCUAUGAAUUUCAAGGGAAAAUCCCAACAGAAAUCUCACACCUUUCCAAUUUGGUUUCACUUGAUCUUUCUUAUAGUUAUGAAAAAUUACAACUUGAUGAGAGAACAUUUGAAGCAAUGUUUCAGAACUUGACAAAUCUGGAGCUACUUUCUCUCUAUGGUGUCAACAUCUCAUCUCCGAUACCUGUUAAUAUUUCUUCAUCCUUAAGGUACCUGGAUCUUGGAUAUACUAAUCUGCGAGGUGUUCUCACAGAGAGCUUUUUCCUUGUGCCAAACUUGGAAAUACUCAAAUUGAGUGGGAAUGAUCUUGUCAAAGGAGUUUUUCCAAAGAUCCACUGGAGCAACACUCUGUUAAUGGAGUUGGAUAUUUCAUCCACAGGCAUCUCUGGUGAGGUGCCUGAUUCAAUUGGCACCUUCAGUUCCUUGAAUAUCUUGAACCUUGCAGGAUGCCAAUUCUCUGGUUCCAUUCCUGAUUCCAUUAGCAACCAAACACAAAUUAGGGAGUUGAUUUUAUAUCAUAAUCAUUUCACUGGCCAUAUUCCUUCCACAAUCUCUAAAUUGAAGCACCUCACACGUUUGGAUCUUUCAAUUAACUCCUUUUCAGGUGAAAUUCCUGAUGUUUUCUCAAACCUCCAAGAGCUACGUACUUUACAUCUUUCUUAUAACAGCUUCAUCGGUUCGUUUCCCGCUUCAAUUUUAAGUUUGACACAUCUUGAAUACUUAGGAUUGUCGAGUAAUUCCCUAUCUGGCCCACUGCCUAGCAACCAAAGCAUGCUUCAAAAGCUAACCGAACUGAAUUUGUCAUACAACUCACUGAAUGGUACCAUACCAUCUUGGGUGUUUAGCCUACCUUUGCUAUCUUCAGUGUCGCUCCAACAUAACCGAUUCAGAGGACUAGCCGAUGAAGUGAUCAAAACAAACCCAACAUUAAAACAACUGCAAUUAAGCAAUAAUCAACUCAGUGGUUCUUUUCCUCAAUCACUUGUGAAUCUCACAAACCUUGAAACCCUUGGAAUUUCAUCAAAUAACAUCACCAUUGAUGGGGGAAUGAAUAUCACCUUUCAUAGACUAUCAUCUUUAUUCUUAUCAUCUUGUGAACUGAAGGAUUUUCCACACUUCUUGAGAAAUGUAAAGACACUUGUGUACUUGGAUAUUUCUAACAAUAAGAUUUGUGGUCAAAUCCCUAACUGGUUUAGUGGCAUGAGGUGGGACUCGUUGCAGUUCCUAAACCUUUCUCAAAAUUCAUUAACAGGCCACCUACCACAAUUUCGUUACGAUAACCUACAGUAUCUUGAUCUGAAAUUUAACUACCUUCAGGGUCCACUAGCUUUAUCCAUUUGUAACAUGAGGAAACUUAUCUUAUUAGAUUUAUCACACAACUACUUCAGUGACUCAGUUCCACAUUGCUUGGGAAGCAUGCCUAAUCUAACGGUGCUGGACUUAAGAAGGAACAAUUUCACAGGGAGUCUUCCCCCAUUAUGUGCACACAGCACUUCGUUGAGUACCAUUGUCAUAAAUGGUAAUCCUUCCUGCAAAAGUUUUUGGAAACUUCAAGGCAAUGAUCAAAUUAGAUGACGAAGACACAAGAGAGAUCAAGUACAUGAAAUCUACGUUGAAUGCGUUAGUUGUCAGAUCGUAUGAGGAUUCGGUGAGUUUGGUGAUCAAAGGGCAGGAUAUUGAGCUAGAAAGAAUCAGCACAAUUAUGACAACCAUAGAUCUCUCCUGGAAUCGGCUCAUUGGAAAGAUUCCGCAGGAAUUGACAAGAAUGAACUUUCUGGCUUUCUUAAACCUCUCUCAAAACCAUCUUGUCGGACCAAUUCCUCACGGUCUACAAUUCAACACAUUUGAAAAUGACUCGUAUGGUGGCAACCUUGAUCUAUGUGGUCUUCCUUUGACAAAGAAAUGUGGAACGAGUGAUUCAUCGCAUGUUCCUCAACAAUUGGAGUCCGAAGAAGAAGAAGGCGAGUCAUAUUUUUUAGUGGAUUUACAUGGGAAUCAGUAGUCAUAGGCUACAGUUUUGGACUAGUUGUUGGAACUGUCAUGUGGAGUCUCAUGUUUAAAUAUCGUAAGCCAAAAUGGUUUGUGGAAUUUUUUGAUGGACUCAUGCCUCAGAAAAGAAGAAGGCCAAAGAAGAGAGCUCAGAGACGAAGGAUUUAAUGGAGGAUUGAUAGGGCUAAUUUGUCUUUGUUUGAUUUUGUGGACUAAUUAGUGAACUGUUCUGCUUUUCCCUCAUUAACUAAAUGCGAAAAGUCUUGAAAAAACAGCACAAGUAUAGAAGAAGCAUGAAAUAGAAAGAGUAGCAUUGCUUAAUCAUCUAGUACUGCUGUAGCUUAUGGUAAUCACUAGUAAUUGAUGAAUCACACUUCAAGCAUAUCAUGAAUUUGGCUUAAAGACUUAGAAGUCAUCGUCUGCUAGUUAAUACGAGAUGGUCCUAUAUAUGAAGAAUAAUGGAGUUUCCCUCAUUAACUUAAUGUGAAAAGUCUUGUGUAUCUAACAAGUUAGAAUGUUCAAAUACUUUUAACUAUAUAGUUUUAUUAUUAUUUUGUAUUCUUCUGCUUUGCGUAUCAUCGAGUUUCUCUUACAUACUCUGAUCCCUGAUUUUGUAAGAAUAGAACAUCCCGUUAUUUGGUGAAUACAAAAAAAGAGUCUCUUUUUCUUUUAUUCAUUUCUCUGUUUUGUGUUGCUAAUAAGUCUAUGCUUUUCUUCUUCCCUUUGAGCAUCAUUUUUGCUCUCCCAAGUAGACACUUUAAAACAAAUAUAAAACAUUACAUUUUAAAAUAAAAUGACAAAAGUGAAUAAAUUAAUCAGUGGAUUUACGUGGGAAUCAGUGGUCAUAGGCUACAUUUCACUACAAGUCUACGAUAAAAAAUAACUUUAGCAGGCAAUAAAUAUACACAUUAACAAAGAGUGACUAAAACCUUUACUGGUAUUAAUUAAUUGUCAUUAGAUUCAAUGUCUCUAUAGGCUUUAGGGACACUUAUAAAAAGUGCUAAUUGCCUCUAAAAAUACAUGUUUAGUAGCGAUUAAGCUAUAGCCGUUAAUUAAUUACCCCUAAAGAUCAUUUUUGAUGUAGUGUAGAUCACUACACCUUUAUCUUGAGUCGAGAGUCUAUGGAAACAACACAAGAGACAACUAAUCGUCUAGAGAAAAUGAGUACAUAGGGGGUAUUAUUUUAUUAAGUCUUCUCCAUCCUCUAAAAAGUCUUGUGGAACACUACAAAAUAUGAAGUAACAAGUUGCUAGAAGUAAGUAGUACUCAUCCUGUAAUUCAAUUGUUCAUCAGUCCCGAUUCAUCAUAAUCUUUUUUUUUCCUCUAGUCUUAGUGGAAAUUGGCUCAAAGGCUUACAAGUCAUCGUCCGCUAGUUACAAUACUGUAUCACUUUUUUCCUUAGGUGGAAUAGAAUAUUGAUGGAUUUUCCCUCAUUAACUUAAAAAUGUGAAAACUAUAGUGUACCUAACAAGUUUGAAAAUAGCAGAAUUGACAACUAAUUACUAACUUGGAAUAUUGACAUUUUAUGAUUGUAUAAAUUCCAUAGAAAAAUUGCAUACAAAUUUAUUGCAUUCUCAUAAUUGGUUUCUCUAUUAACUGUUCUCAUAAUUGGUUCAAUGACACGUCUUGACAUUUUAUGAUUAUAUAAAUUCCGUAAAAAAAUGCACUAAAAUUUACUGCAUUCAUACAACUUGGUUUCGCUUGAUUAAAGUGUCCCUUCUUGUCUUAUGGAAGAUGAAAUGGAGUAACAUCAUGUCUUUAUUGUUCAUUUAUUAUUAUUUUUUUCUCAAUUGACUUGGUCAUACAAUAGUUUCUCUCUUUGAAAUGUAUUGUGGGAAACAGAAGAAGAGAUGUUGAUGGAAAGUUAGACAAGAAUGACUUAAAAUAGGAGUUCAAAUUUCUAUCUAUCCNNNNNNNNNNNNNNNNNNNNNNNNNNNNNNNNNNNNNNNNNNNNNNNNNNNNNNNNNNNNNNNNNNNNNNNNNNNNNNNNNNNNNNNNNNNNNNNNNNNNNNNNNNNNNNNNNNNNNNNNNNNNNNNNNNNNNNNNNNNNNNNNNNNNNNNNNNNNNNNNNNNNNNNNNNNNNNNNNNNNNNNNNNNNNNNNNNNNNNNNNNNNNNNNNNNNNNNNNNNNNNNNNNNNNNNNNNNNNNNNNNNNNNNNNNNNNNNNNNNNNNNNNNNNNNNNNNNNNNNNNNNNNNNNNNNNNNNNNNNNNNNNNNNNNNNNNNNNNNNNNNNNNNNNNNNNNNNNNNNNNNUAUUAUUAAGUAUGUUAAAAUAUAAUUAUUAAAAGAUAAAUUAAAAUUAUAAAACCACAAAUACCUAAUAAGAUGUACUAUCAAUUAUUGGUUAUAACUUUCUUGCACUUUAAUUUAAAUUAUAGAUUUAUUUAUAUUUUCAAUUAUUUUUUUAUAAGAACUUUUUAUGUAUAAUAUAAAUUUUGUCUACGUUUAAUAUGCUUAGCUAUGGAUAUUAUCUCAUAGAAAGUGUAAGCAUAAAAUUUUCAUGAUAUGUUGGGUGGUGGUGAUUUAUUUUAAAUAUAUAGUUUCACUUUUUAAGAGUUAAAUCAAAUGAACUUUAGCCAACAUUUAAGAUAUAUUUUUCUACCUUAUUGAUAUAACAUGAAAAGAUUAGCAUUUAUAAUGCUACGACUAAACACAAGUAGAAUAAAAUUUCAAAGAGCAACAAUAAAUGGGUGGGCACCAACAAAUUCAACUGGGCACUCUGAGUGGGGGAAUUAUAAUUGUGUUCAAGUGGUAUGUGAUAAAUCGUACAUAUGCUUCGUCAAUCAGCGGGAACCAACAAUCUAGUGAGAAAUUUCUCAAACCAGUCAUUCUUUUACAUGGAGAACCCACACUGGUGUUUGACUCCAAAGACAUAGAAGCGUUUAUCACGGAGGAGAAUUUAAAAUACGCUCUCAUUGCCAAAUUCUCACAUGGAAGGCCUGAACUUCCAGAUUUACCGAAAAUAUUGUCUCAACAAUUAGGAUUUAAGGGUGAAUGUAACAUUGGGUUAUUAGAAAGUCGGCACGUGUUGCUGUGGUUCACUUUAAAGGAAGAUUAUAUUGCAAUCUUUUCAAAAACUAGUAGGUCGAUUAAGUUCGCUGGUACUGUUAUACCAUUCAGAAUCCAAAAGUGGACUCCCUCUUUUAGUCCUAGGGAAGAAACCUCCAUUGCAAUGGCGUGGAUUUCUUUCCCAAGUUUACCCUGUCAAUAUUUUGCUUGUAAUGCUCUGUUUUCUAUGGCUUCGGCAGUUGGACAACCUCUUGAUGUGGAUUGAGCGACCUAUGAUAAAACACGACCUAGUACUGCAAGGGUAAAAGUCGUGGUGGAUCUUUUAAGGAUCCUUCCAAAAAGAAUUAGAGUUCAAUUCAAAGAUUUAGUCACUGGCGAAAUUACAAACGUAUGGCAAAAAAUCAGGUAUGAUUAUGUACCAUAUUAUUGUAAGAGAUGUAAUCAUCAGGGGCAUAGAGAAGCUGAUUGUCGAACUCUCCGAUGGUCAAGUUGAUGCCAUGGUCAGUGAAAAUCAUAUUGAAGGAGAAAAAUUUCAAGGAGAUCUUCAUGAUCAUCUCAAUUCCUAAAAAACUGAUUUAAACAGGCUGGAAAUUGGUGAAAAGGAUGAUGAAGAAACUGUUAAAGAUUUAGAUGUAGGGGCUGAAAAGAGUGGUGUUCAAAAUCAAAAUUUGGUGCGCCAAAAUUCUGGCCAGCGCCAAGGCAAAGCAAUGUUGGACGACUAUUCUUCAGGGAAUCAAGUAUUAUCCUUAAUUCCUCAAACUGGUGAGUCUUCGCGGCAAAGUUGUAAUUCAGUUGAUCAUGUCUUUAAUUAUUCUUUCAUUUUUUUUCCUCACUUGACUUAGUCAAGCAAUAGUUUCUCUCAUUGGAAAUUUCUUACAAGUUUUGCAGAAUUUUUUUCUACAUAAUGGGACCAAUUUCACAUCAUCUUGCGUUAGUAACACACAACAGAGAGAUAGUUAAUGACUUCGAAAUGAAUACAACAUCAGAGAAAAUUAGGACAUAGGGAGUAUUAUUUUGUUAAGUCUUCUCCGUCCUCUUACAAGUCUUGUGGAACAUUACAAAAUAUGAGUAACAAGUUGUUAGAAGUGACUAGUACUCAUCUUGUAAUUCAAUUGUUCAUCAGUCCCGAUUCAUCAUAAUCUUUUUUGUUCCUCUAGUCUUAGUGGAAAUUGGCUCAAAGGCUUACACGUCAUCGUCCGCUAGUUACAAUACUGUAUCACUUUUUUCCUUAGGUGGAAUCGAAUAUUGAUGGAUUUUCCCUCAUUAACUUAAAAAAUGGGAAAACUAUUGUGUACCUAACAAAUUUGAAAAUAGCAGAAGAGACAACUAAUUAUUAACUUGGAAUAUUGACCUUUUAUGAUUGUAUAAAUUGCAUAGAAAAAUUGCAUACAAAUUUUAUUGCAUUCUCAUAAUUGGUUUCUCUAUUAACUGUUCUCAUAAUUGGUUCAAUGGCGCGUCUUGACUUUUAUGAUUUUAUAGAUUUCGUGGAAAAAUUACACUAAAAUUUAUUGCAUUCAUACAAGUUGGUUUUGUUUGAUUAAAGUUUCCCUUCUUGUCAUAGGGAAGAUAAAAUAGAGUAACAUCAUGUCUUUAUUGCUCAUUUAUUUUUAUUUUUUUGUCAAUUGACUUGGUCAUACAAUAGUUUCUCUCUUUGAAAAGUAUUGUGGAAAACAGAAGAAGAGAUGUUGAUGGAAAGUUAGACAAGAAUGACUUAAAAUAGGAGUUCAAAUUCCUACCUAUCCAUCUAUACUAAUGUUAAAUUGCUAUAAUAUUUUCAACUUAAAAACUACUUAAUUUAGUAUAUUUUCUAUAAUUUAUAAUAUGUUAUAUUAUAUUUAUUUAUUUAAUUUAAAAUAUAGCGUAUUACAUGAUUUAGCAUUCACGUGCAAUGCACGUGCAUCAAAGCUAGUACUAUCUUAAAAACUAUGUUACUAGAUUAUUUUAAAAUGUCAACAGGUACAUGUUAGAUUCUUCAAAAGUUAUGUAUUUUUUAAGGAACCAACAUUGGUGCAACAUCAUCACAUUUUUGGAGAGCCUGAGCAACAUAUACAAGAAAAUUGGAAAAAGAAGUGCAAUAAGCAUAUAGAGUUUGGUUCAUGAUUGAAAUUACUUGAUAUUAGAAAGUUAACAUUUGUGAAAAUUGAUGUUGAAGAGUAGUCAAAACUACAGAAAUGGCUAAUAAUGGGCAAAAUGCUCUCUGGAAUUGGCUCACUGGAAAGAUUCCAAGGGAACUGACAAGACUACAAUUCGAGGCAGACUAAAAACUCUCUCUCAAUGUUCUUAUCAGACCGAUUGCUGUUCCUCAUCUAUUGGAGUCCGAAGAAGAGUCGUAUUUUGCUAGUGGAUUUACGUGGGAAUCAGUGGUCAUAGUUGUGGAUUAGUUGUUGCAACUGUCAUGUGGAGCCUCAUGUCUAAAGCUAAAAUGAAUUGUGGAAUUUUUUGAAGCCAUCUAUAAAAGCAAAAGACAGAAACCUGUGAUCCUUCAAUACAAUUAGUCUCUCAUCAGUUUUCUUUGCUUGUGCAUCAUUUUUUUAUUUGAUCACUACACCUUUGUCUUGAGUCGAGGGUUUACGGAAACAGCCUCUGGUUAUUUUCCAUCACUGUGUAUCAUAUAGAUGGAAUUUCCCUCAUUAACUAAAUGUGAAAAGUCUUGAAAAAACAGCACAAGAAUAGAAGAAGCAUGAAAUAGAAAGAGUAGUAUUGCUUAAUCAGCUAGUACUGUAGCUUAUCGUAAUCACUAGUAAUUGAUGAAUCACACUGCAAGCAUAUCAUGAAUUUGGCUUAAAGACUUAGAAGUCAUCGUCUGCAUGUUAAUACGAGACGGUCCUACGAAGAAUAAUGUAAAAAGUCUUGUGUACCUAACAAGUUAGAAUGUUCAAAUACUUUUAACUAAAAUCUAUCUACAGUUUUAUUAGUAUUUUGUAUUCUUCUGCUUUGUGUAUCAUCGAGUUCUCUUACAUACUCUGAUCCCUGAUUUUGUAAGAACAGAACAUCCUAUUAUUUGGUGAAUACAAAAAAAGAGUCUCUUUUUCUUUUAUUCAUUUCUCUCUUUUGUGUUGCUAAUAAGUCUAUGCUUUUCUUCUUUCCUUUGAGCAUCAUUUUUGCUCUCCCAAGUAGGCACUUUAAAACAAAUAUAAAACAUUACAUUUUAAAAUAAAAUGACAAAAGUGAAUAAAUUAAUCAGUGGUCAUAGGCGACAUUUCACUACAAGUGUACGACAAAAACAACUUUUAGCAGCAAUAAACGUACUGUCACGCCCCGAGCCUACACCCUGGGUGUGGCCGGCACUCGGAGACCAUAGCUGGCCCCAAGCGAACACUUGGCCUGGCUUUCUUAACUCAGCGGAAACCUAACUCAACAGAAUAACUCAACUGAUAAAAUCUGGCCAAAAAGGCAACUCGAGUCUCAAAAUAGAAUAUUUAUAUAUAUAUAUAAAUGAGAGACUCAAUACUAACUGACUGACUGUCUAUGAAGCCUCUAUAAUACUGAGAUGGAUGUUGGGACAGACCCCGCAACAUCCUAAUAAAACAAAACUAAGAGAAACAAAAUAACCGAGUCCUCCGGAAAACAAGGAGGCUCACCACAGACUCUGGAGUGCUCAACUGGAUCAACGGCGUGCUGGAUGCUGAUCCUAGGUACCUGUGUCUACAUCAUAAAAAAAUGCAGGUCAACUGGCAUCAGUACAUGGAAUGUACGAGUAUGUGAGCUGGACCGCUAAACAACAACUUAAGCUUGAAAAGGGGUAUAAAAGAGAACUUACCUUGGCUUUAUUCAACUCAUGAAUAACUGAACUCAAUAUAAAGCAAUAAGACACAUGAAAUAUAUAUAGCUUGCAAAACUAUUUAAAACAUGACGUCAAAAUCAUAUUUAUAAUAUCAUAAAAAUACCAUGCUUCCUCUCAAAGUCUACUUGUGCAAUGCAUGAAUGAAGUCCCAUACCCCCAUCCAUACUAAGCAGAACCCCUCGAGGAACCAUGCAAUUUCUACUGUGGGAGUUUCUCUAACCGACAACCACCACUAUGACCUAAGUGGUGACACAACGUCUUGUCCACGCUGCCAGAACUGUUCUAUACUUUGUCGUUAUAUAGAACUACUUAACUUUAACUUAGUGGAUCCACUAGCUUAACUUACGUGAUCAUCUAAAAAGUAUGACCCGUUAAAUCCCAUGUUGGCCACAUGGUUCUUAUGGAGAGUUGAGUUAAUAUGAACUCGUGUCCCCAAUUCGGUGCUCAAGACUACUCCCAAAAAUAUACUUUAGCCCAUAUGUUUUAAAAACAAACUUCUUUCUCUAAUUUGAAUUACUUGCGCAAACUACCCUCUUAAAAGAGGUAAUUGCUCUUGAAAACUCUUUCUAAAAAGAACAUAUCAAAACCAUAUUUUUAUAUGAUCAUUGAUGACUCGGGAAGUCAUACUGCAUAAACAUUGAUGGUAUAUCUAGAGACCAUACUGUUUAAACAUUGAUGACAUACUCGAUUUUUCAUACUAAUCAUGUUUUAGAAACUCUUUCGCAAAACUCAUCUUUUUCUUAAAGGAGAUAGUACUCAAACUGCUCAAAACUCUUUUGGAAAUCUCAAUUUCCUCUCAUCUUAAAUGUGAAAACAUUUAUAAACUUAUUUGGGAAUACUUAGUUCCCUAAUAACUUUUGAGAAAUGAACUUGACUCUAUACUCUUUAAUUAACUUGAAACUCUAUACUCUUUACUUAACUUAAAACUGUAUACUCUUUACUUAAGUUGAAACUUGAGUUUUAAAAUGAAGUUAAAACGUUUAAUAACGACUCUUGAAAAACUUUGAAAACUUGCUUUGACUCGCUUCUUAACUUCUAGACUUGACCCUUAACUUCACUUUGACUUGAUCCUAACUCGCCUUGAAUUGGAUUAUGGAUUCAAGGUAUAUGAUAACAUGUUUAUGGAUGAAUUCUUGACGUUUAGACAUACCUUGGAGUAUUAGAAACAACUAUAAAACAUAGGUACAAUACUAAGGAACAUGCAUGAAAAAGUGGGGAAUGAAUGGGAAAGGUUGGCGUCCUUGGCACUCUGAGAGGCGCGGGGCGCUAGACCACAAAGCUCAGAAGGGCAGUUGGGACGCACUUCUAGGCGCGCCCCCCAAGGAGAGAAGUUCAAAACACUUCUUGGGGCGCUCUGCAAGGCGCGACGCGCCACCCCUUUUCCCCAAAAACUCGACUUUUUUCCUUCAUUUCUCCAACUCUAAACCUUCUCAACCUCAAAGUUUCCAGCCCCAAACACUUAAUAUCAUAAGACCCCUCAACAUACAAUAGAUUUAACCCGGAAACACAACCGGAAGCAUGUCCCAAAUCAACAAGGAACUUCAACAACACAAUCAACAACAUCAACAAUACAACCAACAACUUCAACAACACAACCAAUCUUUUCUCGGAAAUAAAACGAUUUUGGUGUGUGGGGGAAAGAACCAACCCAACACUAUGAACUCACAUACCUAGUAGGGAUCACCCCCGACGAUAUCCACGACGAUCUUUGACGAAACCUUGCUUGAUCUUGUCUUUCUUCUCCUCUUCACUCACAAACCCUCACUCUCACUCUUUUAAAAAGGGAAAACUGAUCUAAAAAUCAGUCUAACACAUUAAUAUAACCAAAAGAAUUGGUUAGGGAAAAGACCAAAAUACCCUUACAAAUUUCCGGGCGGACCUUCCCUGCCAACUGCCCAACUUCCAAAAGGCAUAACUCACUCAUACGAACUCGGAAUCAAGUAAAAUUGGCGGCGAUGAAAAGAUCAUUCCAUGAGCUUCGCAAACAUAACUGGAACUACACCUAACUCAUCAUGAGCUAGGAGUUAUGACUGUUCAAAGUUGGUCAAAACUCACCUUUUUUCUACACUUGUCCAAAUUUCCAGAUUUUUAAAUUCUUUCCAAAAAUGACUAUCUCCAAUUCUAAGCCUCUUCAUAGUUAUUUCAAAUUGCCGGAUGUUACAAAUACACAUUAACAAAGACUGCUAAAACCUUUACUUGUAUUAAUUAAUUAUCAUUGGAUUCAAUGUCUCUAUAGGCUUUAGGGACACUUACAAAAAGUGCUAAUUGCCGCUAAAAAUACAUGUUUAGUAGCGAUUAAGCUAUAGCCGUUAAUUAAUUACCCCUAAAGAUCAUUUUUGAUGUAGUGUAGAUCACUACACCUUUAUCUUGAGUCGAGGGUCCACUACUAGAAAACUGUAAAUUACCUGGGAAUUUCAUUUGGAGAUUAUUUUCGCAGAAAUUUCCUAUGAAUUUUCAUGCGGAAAUAUGAAAUUCCUAAAUUCUAGACUUCUCUACAUGCGAAAAAUAAUUUCCCUGAAAAAUUGGUAGGUAACUUUGGCGCCAUUUUUACAAAAUUAUUACCUAUGGAAUUAUUUGGGAAAAAUAAUUUGCAAGUAGCAUUUUCAUAGGUAAAUUCACAAGUAAUAAAAAAAUUUAUUUUUUUAGUAUGUUUGCAAGAAAAUUCCUAGAAAAACAUAUUUGCAGAUUUAGCUAGAAAUAAUUACUUGAAAAUUUAUUUGCAAAUAAUUUUAUACGUGUUAUUACUUGGGGAUUUUAUUGUUGUGACUUUGGUUGAAGAUUUUUAGAGGAAUGCAUACUUGAAUUUUUUUAAAUACAAUUUAAUUGGAAGUAUUUUCUUGGAAUCUAAGGAUUUUUUUAUUUGGAGUCUUCAAGAAAUAUUUUCUUUAAAAUAUAUUUAACAAAAUCUAAAACUAUAAUAAUAUAAAAAAUAACAAUGACAUUAGAAUGAAUUUUAUUGUUAAAUAUAUACUCUACUUUUAGAUUACAUAAAUUAUUAUACAAUAAUAUCAAUCUAACACUAUAUUGGAACAUUACCACAAAUGUCAUGAACAAUAUUUUUAACUUAUAUAUAGUUACAAUAUUUAGUCCUAAAAACCAAUGAUGCGAUAUUUUUUUUUUGAAAGAUACAAAAGCAUUAAAAAUUAUAUGGCUAGUUAUUUAUCCUUAGAAAAAUAACUAUCAUAAAUAUAUUUAUUUUUGAUUAGAUAUUACUUUAUAUUAAAUUUCGUAUUAUUGAAUAAGUCAAUCACUGUUUAAGUAGAGUAAAAUUAAAUUAUAUACAUUAUUAAUGUGAAUUUUAAUCAACCCCUAGUUUAUAGAAUUAUAUUAAAUGAAAAAUAAAUAAAAUUUUAACUAUAUAUCAAAUUUAUAUUUUUUUUUUCUUACAAGCAUUAAAUAUGAUAUAAUUUCUCUAUAGUAAGUUAUUAAAUGUUAUUUAUUUGCAAAUAUUUAUUAUUAAGUAUGUUAAAAUAUAAUUAUUAAAAGAUAAAUUAAAAUUAUAAAACCACAAAUACCUAAUAAGAUGUACUAUCAAUUAUUGGUUAUAACUUUCUUGCACUUUAAUUUAAAUUAUAGAUUUAUUUAUAUUUUCAAUUAUUUUUUUAUAAGAACUUUUUAUGUAUAAUAUAAAUUUUGUCUACGUUUAAUAUGCUUAGCUAUGGAUAUUAUCUCAUAGAAAGUGUAAGCAUAAAAUUUUCAUGAUAUGUUGGGUGGUGGUGAUUUAAUUUAAAUAUAUAGUUUCACUUUUUAAGAGUUAAAUCAAAUGAACUUUAGCCAACAUUUAAGAUAUAUUUUUUACCUUAUUGAUAUGACAUGAAAAGAUUAGCAUUUAUAAUGCUACGACUAAUUAAACACAAGUAAAAUAAAAUUUCAUGUUGGUAAGUUUUAAUGAAAAAAAUCAAUUAAAUAGAUUGAAGACUUUGUAAGUGAAACACUCAUAGUUGAGUGACUUUGUAAGUGAAACACUCAUAGUUAAGUGACUUUUGAGUUAAAAAUCAAAGUUGAGUGACUUUCUGAGAAAAAAACUCAUAGUUGAGUGACUUUGAAGUUAAAAACCAAAGUUGAGUGUCUUUCUAAGAAAAUAGUACAUAGUUGAAUGACCUUAUGAGAUAUUAAAAAUUUAGACACAUAUCAAACAAAAUUUUGAAUUAAAAGCAAAUAAAAGAAUAAAAAUAAAAAUUCCACACGGUAUUAUUGUUCAUUUUUUCCUCACUUGACUUAGUCAAGAAAUAGUUUCUCUUAGAAGUUCUGCAUAAUUUUUUUCUACAUAAUGGGACCAAUUUCACAUCAUCUUAUGUAACACACUGCAGAGAUUGCUAAUAACCUCCAAAUGAACACAACAUCUAGAGAAAAUGAGGGCAUAUGGAGUAUUAUUUUGUUAAGUCUCCUCCGUCCUCUAACAAGUCUUGUAGAACACUACAAAAUAUGAGUAACAAGUUGUUAGAAGUGAGUAGUACUCUUCUUGUGAUUCAAUUGUUCAACAAUCUCGAUUUAUCAUAAUCUUUUUCCCCUUCUAGUCUGUUGUGAUCAUGGAUAGCCGAGAAGUUAGACAACUUGUUGGGCCCGAGGCUAAACCACGAAGUGGAUAAGACAGCCCAACAAUAGGUUUGCUUGGAAUCCAGGUUGAGUACAAAUAAAAGGGUAAUCACUGUGGUUUUGGGAGUUUAUGCAGAUUGUGAAAGAAAUUGUUUGUUCCUCCCAUCUCUUUCUAGAGUCUAAGCUUUUCAUCCACAUUUUUAUCUCUAUCUUUAGUUACUUGUUAUUUAAGUAUUUUCCUUUGUAAUUCUAUAGUUGAAGUGUUGCCGUCGUGAUUUGUCUAUCAGUGAUUACAUAUUACUUGAGUAUUUGAGUUGCGAAUUUAGAUUCGUUACAUAGUCUUUGAGGAAAUUGGCUUAAAGGUUUACAAGUCAUCGUCCGCUAGUUACAUUACUACAUCCUUUAUUUCCUUAGGUGGAAUGGAAUAUUGAUGGAUUUUCCCUUGUUAACUAAAUGUGAAAACUAUUGUGUACCUAACAAGUUUGAAAAUAGCAGAAGAGACAACUAAUCACUAACUCAGAAUAUUGACCUUUUAUGAUGGUAUAGAUUCCAUGGAGCUUGGUUUCCUCUAUUCCAAACGUACCAUAACUGUUGUCAUAAUUGGUGUCCCUUCUUGUCACAUGGAAGAUGAAAUGGAGUAACAUCAUGUCUUUAUUGCUCAUUUAUUUUUAUUUUUCUCAAUUGACUUGGUUAUACAAUAGUUUCUCUCUUUGAAAAGUAUUGUGGAAAACAGAAGAAGAGAUGUUGAUGGAAAGCUAGACAAGAAUGACUUAAAAUAGGAGUUCAAAUUUCUACCUAUCCAUCUAUACUAAUGUUAAAUUGCUAUAAUAUUUUCAACUUAAAACACUUAAUUUAGUAUAUUUUUUAUAAUUUAUAAUAUGUUAUAUUAUAUUUAUUUAUUUAAUUUAAAAUAUAGUGUACUACAUGAUUUAGCAUUCAUGUGCAAUGCACGUGCAACAAACCUAGUACUAUCUUAAAAACUAUGUUACUUAGAUUAUUUAAAAAUGUCAACAGGUACGUGUUAGAUUCUUCAAAAGUUAUGUAUUUUUUAAGAAAUCAACAUUGGUGCAACAUCAUCAUCUUUUUGGAGAGCCUGAGCAACAUAGUUCAUUUAUACAAGAAAAUUGGAAAAAGAAGUGCAAUAAGCAUAUAGAAGAAGCAUGAAAUAGAAAGAGUAGCAUUGCUUAAUCAGCUAGUACUGUAGCUUAUCGUAAUCACUAGUAAUUGAUGAAUCACACUUGAAGCAUAUCAUGAAUUUGGGUUAAAGACUUAGAAGUCAUUGUCUGCUAGUUAAUACGAGACGGUCCUAUAUAUGAAGAAUAAUGGAGUUUCCCUCAUUUUUGCUCUCCCAAGUAGGCACUUUAACAAUUCAAAAUUUAAACAAAUAAAAACUCGAUUUUACCUUUGACACACGUGAAUUGCACGCAUUUUACCAAGUAGGAUUUGAGUGUUUAUUUAUCAAGUAGGAUUCGAUCUUGGCUCACUUUGGCAACUCAAUUUAUCUCACAACGAUCCCAGAGAAGAUAUCCCAACGGAACUGGGACAAAUGAAUACGCUUUUAAGUUCUAGAUUUCUCAUGGAAUUGGCUCACUUGAAAGACUCCAAGGGAACUGACAAGACUAAAAAAUUUGCCAGAUUUUGUUGGUAUAAUAUACCACAAAUAUAAAACAUUAUAUUUUAAAAUAAAAUGACAAAAGUGAAUAAAUUAAUCAGUGAAUUUACGUGGGAAUCAGUGGCCAUAGGCUACAUUUCACUACAAGUCUACGACAAAAACAACUUUUAGCAGCAAUAAAUAUACACAUUAACAAAGAGUGCUAAAAUUUUACUGGUAUUAAUUAAUUGUCAUUGGAUUCAAUGUCUCUAUAGGCUUUAGGGACACUUACAAAAAGUGUUAAUUGCCGCUAAAAAUACAUAUUUAGUAGCGAUUAAGCUAUAGCCAUUAAUUAAUUACCCCUAAAGAUCAUUUUUGAUGUAGUGUAGAUCACUACACCUUUAUCUUGAGUCGAGGGUCCACUACUAGAAAACUGUAAAUUACCUGGAAAUUUCAUUUGGGAAUUAUUUUCGCAGAAAUUUCCUAUGAAUUUUCAUGCGGAAAUAUGAAAUUCCUAAAUUCUAGACUUCUCUACAUGCGAAAAAUAAUUUCCCAGAAAAAUUGGAAGAUAACUUUAGCGCCAUUUUUACAAAAUUAUUACCUGGGGAAUUAUUUGGGAAAAAUAAUUUGCAAGUAGCAUUUUCAUAGGUAAAUUCGCAANNNNNNNNNNNNNNNNNNNNNNNNNNNNNNNNNNNNNNNNNNNNNNNNNNNNNNNNNNNNNNNNNNNNNNNNNNNNNNNNNNNNNNNNNNNNNNNNNNNNNNNNNNNNNNNNNNNNNNNNNNNNNNNNNNNNNNNNNNNNNNNNNNNNNNNNNNNNNNNNNNNNNNNNNNNNNNNNNNNNNNNNNNNNNNNNNNNNNNNNNNNNNNNNNNNNNNNNNNNNNNNNNNNNNNNNNNNNNNNNNNNNNNNNNNNNNNNNNNNNNNNNNNNNNNNNNNNNNNNNNNNNNNNNNNNNNNNNNNNNNNNNNNNNNNNNNNNNNNNNNNNNNNNNNNNNNNNNNNNNNNNNNNNNNNNNNNNNNNNNNNNNNNNNNNNNNNNNNNNNNNNNNNNNNNNNNNNNNNNNNNNNNNNNNNNNNNNNNNNNNNNNNNNNNNNNNNNNNNNNNNNNNNNNNNNNNNNNNNNNNNNNNNNNNNNNNNNNNNNNNNNNNNNNNNNNNNNNNNNNNNNNNNNNNNNNNNNNNNNNNNNNNNNNNNNNNNNNNNNNNNNNNNNNNNNNNNNNNNNNNNNNNNNNNNNNNNNNNNNNNNNNNNNNNNNNNNNNNNNNNNNNNNNNNNNNNNNNNNNNNNNNNNNNNNNNNNNNNNNNNNNNNNNNNNNNNNNNNNNNNNNNNNNNNNNNNNNNNNNNNNNNNNNNNNNNNNNNNNNNNNNNNNNNNNNNNNNNNNNNNNNNNNNNNNNNNNNNNNNNNNNNNNNNNNNNNNNNNNNNNNNNNNNNNNNNNNNNNNNNNNNNNNNNNNNNNNNNNNNNNNNNNNNNNNNNNNNNNNNNNNNNNNNNNNNNNNNNNUUUUCCUCACUUGACUUAGUCAAGAAAUAGUUUCUCUCAUUGGAAAUUUCUUAGAAGUUCUGCAAAAAAAAUUUCCACAUAAUGGGGCCAACUUCACAUCAUCCUGCCUAACACACACUGAAGCGAUAGAUAAUGACCUCGAAAUAAACUCAACAUCUAGAGAAAAUUAGGACAUAGAGUCUUAUUUUGUUAAGUUUUCUCCGUCCUCUAGAAAGUCUUGUGAAACACUACAAAAUAUGAGUAACAAGUUGUUAGAAGUGAGUAGUACUCAUCCAUGGACCACAAGUUGCGUAGUUAGUGAUGCGAAAGUGGUACUAUCUACCAACACUGACUUAAAGACUUGAGUUAACACUUGGGACAACUCUUUUUGCAACCACAAAUUAGUUAGUACCCCAUUUUAUACCUCAUAGUCUCAUGCAUAGAUAAGUCAACCACGUUACUUUAUCAAAUAGUGUUUAGUUAAUUGCUCGUUGUAAUAAUUAAGNNNNNNNNNNNNNNNNNNNNNNNNNNNNNNNNNNNNNNNNNNNNNNNNNNNNNNNNNNNNNNNNNNNNNNNNNNNNNNNNNNNNNNNNNNNNNNNNNNNNNNNNNNNNNNNNNNNNNNNNNNNNNNNNNNNNNNNNNNNNNNNNNNNNNNNNNNNNNNNNNNNNNNNNNNNNNNNNNNNNNNNNNNNNNNNNNNNNNNNNNNNGUUCGAGGUUCUUAUUAAUAUUCUAGGAAGGUUUUAAACGCAUCUAGAAUAUCCACUAAUGUGGUUAUCCGACGAUUAAUUUUUUUGGCUAAAAUAAUUUAACUUAGCUUGAAUUGCAAAAUUGAACUAUUAUAUAGUUGGGACCAUUUUAAGAGAAAAAUAUCAAAAUACUAAAAAAUAAAUUUAUCCAAGUGAAAUAUUUUGUAAACUUAUUUAUUUUAUUUAUUUAUUUAUUUUUAGGUCAAGUAGGAGAUGAAUAGUUUAGUUUAAAUAAUUAACUCAAAAUGGGUGUCUUUUGGGGGGUUUGAAUGUUUGAAACCUUAAAAUCAAUAUCAAUUAUUAACAAAUAAAUAAACACAAUAAAAUAAAGAGAGAGAAUUAGGCCCAAGUCUGGAUUUCCUGUCCGUCUGGGCCAGUACUUGGGCCUAAUUUCAGUUUUGGGCCCUUGGCCCAUUUAAGUCAUUUGUACCUGUCCUAUUCUAACAUAAUAGAACUAUUUUCCAUUUGGGGGCCUUAGGCCCAAUUCUUCCACCUGUUCAAACUAGCACAAUAAUUGCAAAUAAAAUGACAAGGGCUUAGGCCCAAAAAAUAACAAAAUACAACUUCUUAAAGAAGAGUGGGCCUCUUUAAGGCCAUUUUCUCAUUUUUCGUAUACACUAGGUGUAUACUAGUGUAUACAAUCUCGUAUCAGCUCCAAACCCUGUUCAUCAAAUUUUUGGGACCCCUCCUUCAAUUGCUAUGGUUGGUUGACUCGAUAAAGGAUUUUUGGGGCACUCGUGGCCCCCUUUGGAAUGCAAAGGUUGAGUCCAUGAGGACUUGGGCAUAUUUCACAUGAAAAGACACAUAAAUAAGAAUUAGCACCUUAUUAUAGGUUGAUGAAAGUAAUUAUGAAUUGAUUAAUAUUAGACUCAAACUUAAACAAGUUCCAAUAGAGUAGUAAAUCCACGGUGAUUAUGCAAACGAAGCCUUAUCACAUUACUCAACUAACAUGAAAGACAUGGUAACCUCUCAAUUAAUAUAAACUCAAGUUUCCUUUCAAAAAGUAUGAAAAUAAAAAAAAAGUAAAGCAUUAGAAGGAGACAGUAGCUAUGAUGUCAAAUAAUUAAGUGGCUAAAAUUCUAAAGAAAAAUUAUUCUGAUUAUGAAUCUACACCCAGAUGUAGCAUCUAUGAUAAACACACUUGUCACAUAAUUAAAUAUAGUCCACACAUUUCAAAAAUAAUAAUAAAUAAAUAAAUUAGGAGAAUACUUCAACUUUGCAUAUAUCUAAAAAAAAAACAAAGGAAGAGAAAAUCAAUAAGGAUUAAAUCGACUAAUACAUAGACUCUUUUUUUUAAAAAAUAAAAUAAAAUAAAAUAAAGAAAUAAGAUAAAAAUAAAUAAAUAAAUAAACAAGAGCUAAUUGAUUACAUACAAACGAAACGAAACGGUUAACAUGCUAGACUCAGUUUAAGCUUGACUAAAAAAUUUCUGAAUAGACGAUUUACCACAGAUUUAGUGCAUAUUGCAAAACCAAUGAGGUAGGACACUUUAUCCAUGGACAAACCAACAAAUAUUGCUUAUGAAAUAUAGCAAGAGAUCACAUGAUUUGCAGCCAUGAAUAGGAGGGAGCUUGGGGAUUUGCAACUUUAUUAAAAAGGGGGAAAGGAGGGAAGAAUAUACGUCAUUUAACAGACAAGAUUAGACAUUCAAAACAUAAUUAUUAAGACUACUUCAUUAUUUUGUUUCCCACCCGGUGUCCGGAGCCCACUUUGGAGUUCCGACUAAAUUCGGAUCGCGCUUUGCAGGGCCCAUUCGGGGGUGGCGCUCCCAACAAAAUUUUCUCCAUACCCAGGGCUCGAACCCGAGAUCUCUGGUUAAGGGUGAAGCACUCCCACCAGUGCACCACUACCCAUGUUGGUACCGUAUCCCUUAUUUCCUUAGGUGGAAUGGAAUAUUGAUGGAUUUUCCCUCAUUAGCUUAAUGUGAUCGAAAACUAUUGUGUACCUAACAAGUUUGAAAAUAGCAGAAGAGACAACUAAUCACUAACUCAGAAUAUUGAUCUUUUAUAAUUCUAUAAUUCCGUGGAAAAAUUGCAUCAAAAUUUAAUGUAAUUGUACAACUUGGUUUCCUCUAUUCUGAAUGUACACUAAUUGUUCUCAUAAUUGGUUCAAUGACGUGUCUUAACCUUUUAUGAUUAUAUAAAUUCUGUGGAAAAAUUGCACUAAAAUCCUCAAUUGACUUGGUCAUAUAAUAGUUUCCCUCUUUGAAAAAGUAUUGUGAAAAACAGAAGAAGAGAUGUUGAUGGAAAGUUGGACAAAAUCAUCAUAUAUCUAUCAUUUUGGCCUUAUACUAAAUUAUAUAUUAUUAUAUUUAUAUAUUAUUAAAAGUGGAAAGCUCUUGUCUUCAAAGUUGAUUUACCAUUUUGCUCUUAUAUUAAAUUAAUUUUUUUAUAAAAUAAUUUUUCUUUACACCAUAAUUAAAAAAAAUCAAUUAAAUUAGUUUUCAAUANNNNNNNNNNNNNNNNNNNNNNNNNNNNNNNNNNNNNNNNNNNNNNNNNNNNNNNNNNNNNNNNNNNNNNNNNNNNNNNNNNNNNNNNNNNNNNNNNNNNNNNNNNNNNNNNNNNNNNNNNNNNNNNNNNNNNNNNNNNNNNNNNNNNNNNNNNNNNNNNNNNNNNNNNNNNNNNNNNNNNNNNNNNNNNNNNNNNNNNNNNNNNNNNNNNNNNNNNNNNNNNNNNNNNNNNNNNNNNNNNNNNNNNNNNNNNNNNNNNNNNNNNNNNNNNNNNNNNNNNNNNNNNNNNNNNNNNNNNNNNNNNNNNNNNNNNNNNNNNNNNNNNNNNNNNNNNNNNNNNNNNNNNNNNNNNNNNNNNNNNNNNNNNNNNNNNNNNNNNNNNNNNNNNNNNNNNNUCUUUGCAUUUAAUAAUUAUAAUAACCAUAACUUUAUAUGAAACGUUGGUGGUUCAAUUAUUUAAUUGUUACGUUAACCAAUGGCCAACUUCUCAUUGCUACAGUAAGUACAAAGAAGUUGAAAAGUUGAAUUGAAUAUUAAUUAGUAAAUUAAUUCAUUAGUAAAUAAAUGAAAGGAAAUUUCAAAGGUCUAGGAAAAAAUAUUAUAUAAAGGCUAAACGAGUUCACUAAUUUCCCAUCUGCUCUUUGUAACUUUUGAGAUUGAAUGCAAAUCAUUUUAACUUCGAUUUCAUUUUUUCCCUUUUCUUUUUAUAUCCUUUGAUAGUUUGCAUAUAUAAAAGAAGAGAUGGGAGUAUGUAAGAUUGUUUUUUAUGCCUUCUAAUAGUUUGCAUAAAAGAAGAGAUGAGAAGUAUGUAAGAUUAUUGAUGCCAAAUUAGAGUAGCUGUCAUAUUCAAUUUUUACUACUCUUGAAUUAUCAGCUAUAAUAUAAUCUUCCGAGAAAUUAUGAUCAAAAUCACCAUCUCUCCUCCCUUUCAACUAUCAGUAUUACACCGUUUAUACUAGUUUUGUAAAAAAUUUAAAACAUACUAUUUUGGUGAAUUGAUUUAAACAAUGGCUUAUUUUGGUCAAAAUUUUGAUUUCUCCGGAAGGUUGAUCAUAGUUGACAUAAAUGAAUUCAUUGUUAUAGUAUAAUCUGAUUACAAUUCUUUAAGAUACAAAGAUAUUAUACUCUCUACAAAUAAGUUAUUUCAUGAUAUAAAGAAAUGGUGUUAUUUGAAUGCGUUGAUUGAUGCUCCUCUUCACGUUGAUUACUGGCUAUAACCUUUUAUCAUCAUUGCAAUAUUCAACUUUAACUUGAAUUAUUACUUGAAAAGAACUCAUUAAUCUUUUUUGUGUAUGCAUGGCAUAUUUGGUUAAUUAGAAUUACAAUACUUUGAUUUCACAUGUAUUGGAAUUUCAUUUGUUUCCAUGCACAAUUGUUAAGCUUAUAACAAUUAGCUUUAAAUUUUUAAUUAGCAUAUAUUAUUUGCGUUUUGUAAAUUUUAACGAGAAUUGUUUUAAAUAUCAUAUCUAAGUUUUUUGUUUAAAUAUUUCAGAUUCAUUGUUUUGCUAUUUGGUGUGAGCAUCACAAUUCAUUAUUCAAUUAUUAUGUCAUGAAAUUUAUUACUUAAUGUUAUUAGGUGCAAAUAUUUUGCUUAUAAAGAAGUAUUAGUAUUAAAUAUUUGCACCUAAUAACAUUAAGUAAUAAAUUUCAUGACAUAAUAAUUGAAUAAUGAAUUGUGAUGCUCACACCAAAUAGCAAAACAAUGAAUCUGAAAUAUUUAAACAAAAAACUUAGAUAUGAUAUUUAAAAAAUCAUUUAGUGCUCAACGAAGAAGUCAUUCAAAUUGGAUGAGUGUUACAUUCAUCAAUUUUAGUUUGUACUUUUUUUUGUUAUUGAUUACACUAUGGUUUUAAUAUAACUUAUAUCGUGUAUACUACUUGCUUGAGACACACGUGCAACGUACGUGUUCAGAAACUAGUAUAUCUAUAAAAGCAAACGACAGAAAACUGUGAUCCUUCAAUACAAUAAGUUGAUUACUCAGUUUUCUUUGCUUAUGCAUCAUUUUUUAAUUUGAUCACUACACCUUUAUCCUGAGUUGAGGGUCUACGAAAACAGCCUCUCACUACACCUCUUCAUAUUUGAACGGUAUCAUAUAGAUGAAAUUUCCCUCAUUAACUUAAUGUGAAAAGUCUUUUGAAAAACAACUAAUCGGAAAUUAUUUCUCAUAAAAUUUCUCUACAGGUGUAGUGAUCUUCACCAAGUUAUUCAAAACAUAUAGGAAAUUAAGACGAGUUAAUACAUCAGAUGGUCACUCAACUAUGCACUAUUUUCUCAGAAAGUCACUCAACUUUGGUUUUAAACUUAAAAGUCACUCAACUAUGAGUUUUUUUCUCAGAAAGUCACUCAAAAAUACAUGUUUAGUAGCGAUUAAGCUAUAGCCGUUAAUUAAUUACCUCUAAAGAUCAUUUUUGAUGUAGUGUAGAUCACUACAUCUUUAUCUUGAGUCGAGGGUGCACUACUAGAAAACUGUAAAUUACCUGGGAAUUUCAUUUGGGGAUUAUUUUUGCAGAAAUUUUCUAUGAAUUUUCAUGCGGAAAUAUGAAAUUCCUAAAUCUAGACUUCUCUACAUGCGAAAAAUAAUUUCCCAGAAAAAUUGGUAGGUAACUUUUGCGCCAUUUUUACAAAAUUAUUACCUGGAGAAUUAUUUGGGAAAAAUAAUUUCCAAGUAGCAUUUUCAUAGGUAAAUUUGCAAGUAUUAAAAAAUUAAUUUUUUAGUAUGUUUGCAAGAAAAUUCCUAGAAAAACCUAUUUGCAGAUUUAGCUAAAAAUAAUUACUUGAAAAUUUAUUUGCAAAUAAUUUUAUACGUGUUAUUACCUGGGGAUUGAUGUUCUACAAAUUUUGUUGGGAAUUUAUUUCUUGAGGAUUUACUUGGGAAUUUUUCUUACUUGGAGAAUUACUUGGGGAUUUUAUUGUUGCGAAUUUGGUUGAAGAUUUGUAUAGGAAUGCAUACUUGAAUUUUUUUAAAUACAAUUUAAUUGGAAGUAUUUUCUUGGAAUCUAAGGAUUUUUUUAUUUGGAGUCUUCAAGAAAUAUUUCUUUAAAAUAUAUUUAACAAAAUCUAAAACUAUAAUAAUAUAAAAAUAACAAUGACAUUAGAAAGAAUUUUAUUGUUAAAUAUAUACUCUACUUUUAGAUUAAAUAAAUUAUUAUACAAUAAUAUUAAUCUAACACUAUAUUGGAACAUUACCACAAAUGUCAUGAACAAUAUUUUUAACUUAUAUAUAGUUACAAUAUUUAGUCCUAAAAACCAAUGAUGCGAUUUUAUUUUUUUGAAAGAUACAAAGCAUUAAAAUUAUAUGGCUAGUUAUUUAUCCUUAGAAAAAUAACUAUCAUAAAUAUAUUUAUUUUUUAUUAGAUAUUACUUUAUAUUAAAUUUCGUAUUUUUGAAUAAGUCAAUCACUGUUUAAGUAGAGUAAAAUUAAAUUAUAUACAUUAUUAAUGUGAAUUUUAAUCAACCCCUAGUUGAUAGAAUUAUAUUAAAUGAAAAAUACAUAAUUUUUAACUAUAUAUCAAAUUUAUAUAUAAUUUUUUCUUACAAGCAUUAAAUAUGAUAUAAUUUCUCUAUAGUAAGUUGUUAAAUGUUAUUUAUUUGCAAAUAUUUAUUAUUAAGUAUGUUAAAAUAUAAUUAUUAAAAAAGGUAAAUUAAAAUUAUAAAACCACAAAUACCUAAUAAGAUGUACUAUCAAUUAUUGGUUAUAACUUUCUUGCACUUUAAUUUAACUUAUAGAUUUAUUUAUAUUUUCAAUUAUUUAUUUAUACGAACUUUGUAUGUAUAAUAUAAAUUUUGUCUACAUUUAAUAUGCUUAGCUAUGGAUAUUAUCUCAUAGAAAGUGUAAGCAUAAAAUUUUCAUGAUAUGUUGGGUGGUGGUGAUUUAUUUUAAAUAUAUAGUUUCACUUUUUAAGAGUUAAAUCAAAUAAACUUUAGCCAAGAAAUAGUGUUUAGUUAACUUUUUGUUUUAUUUAAUAUGGAGGUCGUUGUAAUAAUUAAGAAAUAAAAUAGUGUUUAGAUAAUUAUAGCAUUCUUUCUUACAUGACUACUUAUUUUAUUGACUUAUUUAUAUAUUGACGAUCAUCAUGAACCCAUAUUAUUAUUUUUACCUUUUUAUUCCUAUUACUAUUUUUAUUUAUUCAUUAUUGAAAUAUUCUAAAGCCUACCAAACGGUAAAACCUUUUGCAUUAUGCAAAAUAAAUUGUUGGGUGUUAAAAAAAGAUCAAAUUGUUUUUGGUGUAUUCUUUGAAUUACAAGCACUGCAACAAACAACUACAACAAAAAACAACUUUUAGCGGCAAUAAAUAUACACAUUAUUAAAGAGUGUUAAAGAUUUUGCCGGUAUUUUAAUAUUAUUAUAUCAACUUCUGAAAUUCAGCACAAUUAUUUCAAUAUCAUUGUAUAAUCUUAUUAAUGUUUUGAGUAAGAUUUGAUUAUUCUAACUUUAUAUUAUAUUUUUUCAUUGAAAAAUUUUGUUGUUUGUAUUCUUACUUUAAAGGUCUGCGUACAUCCUACCUUCUUGAAACUUUACUCGUAGGAUUACAUUAAUAAGUAUGUUAUAGGUAUUCAAUUUACAUAGGACACUUAGAAAGUAGUAUAUAUCUGUGUGGAUAAGACUGAUUGAUUUGUAAGAAGAACACAUCCAUCCUGUUAUUUGGUGAAAUCAAACAAACAAAAAAUGGCCGUGAGUCUGUUUUUCUUUUAUUCAUUUCUCUGUUUUGUGUUUUUAAUAAGUGAAUGCUUUUCUUCAUCCUUUGAUCAUCAUCUUUGCUCUCCCACUGAAGCUUCCUCUUUGCUUCAGUUCAAACAAUCCUUUCAAAUUAUGUCCAAAGAGUACUUUAGUUAUUGGUCUGAUGGAGAUUCUUUCCCGAAAACAAAGUCUUGGAAUGAGAGUAGGGAUUGCUGCAGUUGGGAUGGAGUCACUUGUGACUUAUUAAACGGUCAUGUUAUCGGGUUAGACCUUAGUAGUAGUCUGCUUUGUGGAAGUAUUCAUCCCAAUAGCAGCCUCUUCCAACUUCAUCAUCUCCAAACACUAAACCUUUAUAACAACCUCUUCAAUUAUUCUUCAAUCCCACAUAGCAUUGGCCAAUUGACGAAUUUGAGGCAUCUCAACCUUUCUCAUUCUCACUUUGGUGGGAAAAUCCCAACAGAAAACUCAUACCUUUCUAAUUUGGUUUUACUUGAUCUUUCUGUGUAUGGAUUACAACUUGAUGAGAGAACAUUUGAAACAAUGCUUCACAACUUCACAAAUCUGGAGGUACUAGCUCUCUCUCUUGGCGACAUCUCAUCACUGAUACCUGUAAGUAUUCAUCCCAAUAGCAGCCUCUUCCAGCUUCAUCAUCUCCACACACUUAACCUUGAUAACAAUUACUUUUAUCCUUCUUCGAUCCCAAAUGGCAUUGGCCGAUUGAGGAAUUUGAGGCAUCUAAAACUCUCUGGCUUUGAUGGGAAAAUCCCAACAGAAAUCUCAUACCUUUCCAAUUUGGUUUCACUUGAUCUUUCUUAUAGUUAUAAAUUCUUACAACUUGAUGAGAUAACAUUUGAAGCAAUGCUUCACAACUUCACAAAUCUGGAGAUACUUUCUCUCUGGUAUGUCAACAUCUCAUCUCCGAUACCUGUGAAUAUUUCUUCUUCCUUAAGAUAUGUGGAUCUUGCACAUACUAAUCUGCGAGGUGUUCUCACAGAGAGCUUUUUCCUUGUGCCAAACUUGGAAAGCCUCAAAUUGAGUGGGAAUGAUCUUCUCAAAGGAGUUUUUCCAAAGAUCCACCGGAGCAACACUCUGUUAAUGGAGUUGGAUAUUUCAUCCACAGGCAUCUCCGGUGAGCUGCCUGAUUCAAUUGGCACCUUUAGUUCAUUGAAUAUCUUGAACCUCGGAGGAUGUCAAUUCUCUGGUUCCAUUCCCGAUUCCAUAGGCAACCUAACCCAAAUUACGGAGUUGGCUUUGUCUUAUAAUCAUUUGGGAUAAUACAUAUAUUUGACCUUAAACUUGGCUUCAAAUUUUAACUUUGACCUCCAACUUUCAUAGUGCACAAACAAGCACUUUAACUAUCCAAUCUUUUAAUAAAUAAACACGUGAUUUUUGGAGCCAAGAGCGUGAAAUGCAAACGCUGCCACGUGUAUUAGAAAUUCCUGAUGUUUUCUCUAACCUCAAAGAGCUACGUACUUUACAUCUUUCUAAUAACAGCUUCAUCGGUUCGUUUCCCUCUUCAAUUUUAAGUUUGACACAUCUUGAAUACUUAGGAUUGACGAAUAAUUCCCUAUCUGGCCCACUGCCUAGCAACCAAAGCAUGCUUCAAAAGCUAACCGAACUGAAUUUGUCAUACAACUCACUGAAUGGUACCAUACCUUCUUGGGUGUUUAGCCUACCUUUGCUAUCUUCAGUAUCGCUCCAACAUAACCGAUUCAGAGGACUAGCCGAUGAAGUGAUCAAAACAAACCCAACAUUAAAAGAACUGCAUUUAAGCAAUAAUCACCUCAGUGGUUCUUUUCCUCAAUCACUUGUGAAUCUCACAAACCUUGAAACCCUUGGAAUUUCAUCAAAUAACAUCACCAUUGAUGAGGGUAUGAAUAUCACCUUUCUUAGCCUAUCAUCUUUAUUCUUAUCAUCUUGUCAACUGAAGGAUUUUCCACACUUCUUGAGAAAUGUAAAGACACUUCAGGUCUUGGAUAUUUCUAACAAUAAGAUUUGUGGUCAAAUCCCUAACUGGUUUAGCGGCAUGACGUGGGACUCAUUGCAGUUCCUAAACCUUUCUCAUAAUUCAUUAACAGGCCACCUACCACAAUUUCGUUACUAUAACCUACAAUAUCUUGAUCUGAAAUUUAACUUCCUUC
rnacentral:lncRNA from 1 species